GUUGGGGCAACUUGGACUUUAUUUGGAUCCGGCAAUGGUCAAUACACUCCGGCUGUGACAUACCCAGUACUGGCACAUGCAGAGAGACACGGGCAGUCGGAAGUACAUACAUACGGACCGACGUACGGACAUACAUACAUACAUACAUACAUACAUACAUACAUACAUACAUACAUACAUACAUACAUACAUACAUACAUACAUACAUACAUAUGGCAGGCGGCUGGCAGAGGUUAAGGCCUGACUUCUGCUCCCAGUCGACCCAGUCGACCCGGGUUCAAAUCCGCCUGCCGGCUCCUCGGGUGUUUGAGGAGUGAUGAAAUGGGAGGUGGCCCCCCAUCUUAUGGACGGUGUAGGACGUGAUAAUAUCAACUUGCGAGCUGACCAGGAACUAAGUUGAUGCGCCGUUGAUCCGCUAGAUUUGGUUGGAUGCUGGUGGUGAGUGCGAACCCAACGAAUACAUUCUGAAGUCGGAUGGGGUGACGGAUUAGGGUGCCCCUCUAGCAGGGGAGAGCAGGGACUGCCCCGGGAAAGGGGGCCGCUGGCGAAGUUGACCACCCUGUAACAACAUACAUACAUACAUACAUACAUACAUACAUACAUACAUACAUACAUACAUACAUACAUACAUACAUACAUACAUACAUACAUACAUACAUACAUACAUACAUACAUACAUACAUACAUACAUACAUACACACACGCACGCACGCGUGUGUGUUUUGUCCGGUCUCUCUCGCUCUCUUUGCAGGUACGUCCCGGUUGGGUUGUUGGAGGUCCUCCCCCAGCACAUGAACCACCGCCCUCCGGCCUUCCGAGGGCGCAGCGAGCUGGAGACGCUGAUGUCCUCUGAAGAGCCCCAGGCGAGUGGUGUUGGUGGGGGGGCCCUGGCGGGGAGAAGGGCUGUGUGUGUAUGCCUGUGUGUACGUAUGUAUGGACGUGUAUACAUAUGUAGUAAGGAACAUAGCGGUGCAUAUGUGAAAGGGGGGUAGACACCGUAUGUGUUUGUGUGUGUGUCUGUGUGUUUUACAGAACACGUGCCCACCCGCGUCGGUCCCCUCGGCCUCACCGGCGGUCCCGUCGCAGCGUCCCCACCUGGCCCCCUCCGUACUUCCACUUUCACACUGCCGUACAGGAUUGGAUCCGGAUCAGUGAGAUGCUUCUGGGUCCACCUCCCGCCCCCAUCACCUCAUUCACUGCCAAGCACAAGAGCAGUUCGUACGCGGGCGCGCCGGGAGCGGCUAGUGAGCUCGACAUGGCGAGGGGUUGAGAAUGAGGAUUAAGAGGAGGAGAAUAAGGAAACGGAGGAGACGCUUUUUGUUUAUCGCAGACACUGAUGGCGGGAGCUGAACCGACCAGGGGUCGUCGGAUGUUUUGUCACAUGAUGCGUGGAUUGGGCGACAUGGUGAUGAUGACCCAUGGGUCACUGAGCUGUGAGUCGACGGUGACCUGAUGCUGUCUGUUGGGUUCGUGUUCCACUGCUGCCCACCACCACCACUGCCACCGUUGACACCCGGUCCCUCUGGGGCACUCGGGUGAUGAAGUCCACAGGAGGUUUGGAUCUGCAGAUAUGCUUGGAUGGGGCAUGUGUUUGGGGGGCAGUAGGGCCCUAUGACCCGCAUGGUUCAGGGCAUGGAACCUUUCCCUAAAUCCGUGAAAAGGCCGUAGCCUACUGCGCAAUGCCCAUUUUAUAACACAGCUGCCUUGUAAAACAUAUAUAGAUGUAUUCUGUGGUGUGACCCGUAGGUAGGCCGAUUGGUCAGACGGGCCAGCACUCCACUUCUCCCAGGUGGCAGGCCAUUGCAGGCCAAUGGAGAGAUGGCAUUUCUGGGAAUGGCAAAGGAAAAGGCAAAGGGAGGGGGACAUGAAAAGUUUUUAAGCCAUGAAACGUGAGCAGCUAAGGUGUGGACCACACAUAGGUGUGGAAGCUCCACCUGCAGUGAUGGCCCCACACCCCAUCGAGCAACCCACAUGUCCACAAACAAGCAAAAGACCUUAUCAUCCCCCCCAGGGGAGCACCACACCACAACGGAAACCAGUAAUUCCCAAUUUCAUGGCCCCAACCUUCUCACAAAGUGCUAGGCUUUGUUGGCAGGUGGCAUGUGCUUGGAUAAAUGCAGGCACAUGACACAUCCCCUUGGUGACACUGCAGGACUGCGACACUCCCUUGGCCAGAAAGAUCCUGCAGAGAAAGCCGCCCUUAAUCUUGGACGGCUCUCCCUGCACACCCUAGGUGGGUGGCUCCACCUGCUGAUGAUGUGGGAGCUGUAGCCCUUCAUCACAGCCUGGCAAUAUCCUCAGGGCCUACAAGCAGACAAAAAACACUAUACCUGCCCCCAGGGGGCCACCUCUCAACCAACUAAAAAACGAGUCCCGGUGCCCCCCAACUUGCAACUUGCAACCCGUCCAGCCAAGAAUCCUUGCUCACAUGCGUCAAACCCAUACACAUCUUGCAAAGAUGGGUGAAAUAGCAUGUCUUGAGCUGCUUUAGCUACUUUCCUUGCAUGGCUGUGCUUGCCACACACAGCCAUUGUAAAGCCUUCAUCCGCUCAAAGUGCUCAAAUCGUAGCUCUGAAAGGGUUCUGGGUGCAGUCGGAGUCCCAGAAAAACAAGUUAUGAGAAGUUCAUUAUGCAUGUUAGGAUGCACUAUUUCUUGCAGUGAUCUACGGCGUUGUUUUGCUGCAAUGGCCCAUUCUUUCCCCCCUUGUGUACGGCAUGAGGGAUUUAUGAGUUUUACGUUUUUUUUCAACGACUUUAAGUAUAAUAAAUAUGUGUUUCCCCCUUCACUAGUGUGAUCAAGGAUUCGUGUCAGUUCAUCCGAAAAGGAUGAUAAGCAUCCUUUUGAAAGACGUUAUCCACGGGUACUCGUUACGGGCGGUGCCUCAAAGAUUUGCUGUACUUUUGAGAGCUGUGAAUGGGCAGCUGGGGUGUCUAGCUGCCCGCCGCCUAAAGAGCUGUCGGGACAUGGUACACUGCAAAACGAGAGGCCCCAACCCCAUAACCGUCGCACAGUCACGCGAUUGUACGGCGCCUGUACGGCAGUUACCACAAUGCCACGGGUCAUCGUUUGUGAGAGUGGCGGCUACUGGCUCAGUGGACACUGGCCGCAUGGCUGCGAGGCUUGUAGAUCAGGCAGUUUCCCGAGCGAGCAAACAGCUAACAAAAUCGUGCUAAGCAGGACGCAUGCCGCUUUGUCAGGAAAUCUCAUCUCUCUCCCCUGUCUUCGUCAGGAAAAGGUGUCAAUUAUUGUGCGCAUGUUUGUUUGGUGAUCGGUAAUCCUUCCAACCUGAAAUAUAAAUAAGAACAGCUAAAUCAACUUAUAUUCGCCAUAUAUUCGCUAUCUGUGUGCAUGUGCACAUGUGCCUAACACACGAGACAAGCUCCGGAGGACAUCGGAAAGGAAUGCAAGCUGGCGUUGAUGUGUGGCGUCGACUAGACGUGCAUUACACGAAGUACUUAAAAGAGCGACCGGGUAGGAUGAUGGUAUGGCCAAACAUAUCAGUUUUUACACCGUCAACACCACUACCUCUUUCACAAAGAGGUCCGCCCCCGCCUUGGGCCCUUUUCUUUUCUUUUGGGGGAAAGAAAGAACUUGAUGUUGUUGUGCACUGCUACACAUUCUGGUUUACAUAUUUACAGUGUCCGCACGAGUGGGGGACGGAGAGGGGGCUCCAUCAAAACCGUGGAGGGCCCCCCCCCCUGGGGGACCGAUUUCAGUUAAAAUUAAUGUUACGGUGUCGGUGGGGCAACUGUCGCAUUCUGCGUACCCGCGUUUUUCCCCCUCACUCCUGGACACCGCUGAGAGCGCUCCUGGUAACGCUGUCCAUGCUGUCCGUACAAACCGACAACGAUAACCGUCACAAUAACCACCACUACAGCACCACCGCUACAUUACCAAAAACCCAUCAUCAAUACAGACUAUCGUACGGCACUAGUUCACAGGCUGUACAUGUGUUAUGGACGUGCCACACACAAACACGCACACACGCACAUACACACACACACACACAAAAACAAACACAAUAUACAUGUAUAUAUACGUGUGUGUGUGUGUUUGUUUGUCUGCAUACAUUGCAUUUAUAUCAUGUAUUGUACCUUGCAACACAUUACCGAGAUGAAAAGUCCCAUACCGGAGAGCCGCGCGGGUUCAUGGGACCCCCUCUAAUAACCCUCCAGCCCCCAGAAGUCACAUCAGAGGUGGUAACGGAGCCCAUUCGAGGGCCCCGAGGGCAGCUUCAGCUUCAGCUCCAGGCCCCCCUUCAGCUCCAGCCCCCCGCCUUUGUCUCGCCUCACCUCGUACAGGGGCCAUCAGUUGGCCGCAGUCAGCAAUAUCCGGUCACGUGGCCUGUCAGUCCCAGGUCGGUCGCUAGUCAGGCCCCUGGCAGUGCAGUCUUCCCAUUCACCCAGACACUCCAUGCAAGCAGGUUCAGCCACCUGAAGGAUCCCCCUCAUCUGCCACAACGACGGGGGCCCCCUCUUCUUCUUCUCCUCCUUCUUAUCGAUACGUCCGUCUGUCCAUUUAUCCGUCUGUCUGUCUGUCUGUUUCUCUAUCAAUCUAAUCUGUCCGUCUGUCUGCCUGUCUUUCUGUCCGUCAAUUUUUUUUCCGGCUCUGUCUGUCCCGCUGCCCGCCAAAAGCGAUUCGCGGCUCCGUAAGUACGGUAGCGCACAACAUCAGGAAGUACGGCAAUACAGACCCGGGCAUGUACGGAAGCCGGCAGCAGGUGUCGCUGUGUUCCUCUAUGCCCCGCCCGCGCAAGAUCCAAUCAGAGAUCAUCCAAUCAAAACAAUCAACCGAGGUACAGUAUCGAACGUAUGGGGGGAAGGUGAAGUGGGGCCAUGAAGCGCCGCUUCCAAGGGCGUGUCGGAAUAUGCUAGGCGUGUCGGAAUAUGCUAGGCGUGUCGUACAAACAGUGCGUGUGCUUGGGGGUUCCAAUGAAAAGUACGACAUAGACACAGAGGACAUACCGCGAUGUGCUCCCCGCACGAUGCAAACACAAGCACACGCGCCCACACUCCCAUAUCCACAUAUACACACACGCGCACCCGUGCACACACUGUCACACUGUCACACACACACACACUGUCACACACACACACACACACACACAUCUGCACUUUCGGGUCAUGUUGGUGGUCUACAAUAACACGUACAUACGCCAGACGACCCACCAGCGGGGGGUGACGUGGCCCUGGAAGUAGCCCAUCUCUCCCCAUUACCCCGAGCCUCGUUAGGCUGUGUGCCCGAAAAACAUUAUUACAUGCAGCCAGGGCACAACUCCCCUGCCGCGGCAGUCUUCUCUUCCGCUCUCUACCCGCUUCCCAUCCCGAGAAUUUGAAUGCUGAGACUUGUCCGCUGUACUCAGAACGCAGAGACAUGAGCGUGAUUCAUCGUGCGCCGCGGGCACGCAGCCGCAUUGCUCUGUGGCUUCGCCGGAUGGUCUCGACAAGCCAUUCAACGCCCUCUUUCAGGCCCUGCCCGGUGUAGGCGCUGACAGGCAACACUUUGAAUUGCCGCCCCUCCAAACGCUCGAUGCCGAAUACUUGCCCUACUUCCUGUGCGCUAGCUGCCCCGUCUAGGUCCUGCUUGUUGGCCAUGAUAAGCAGCGGCGCUCCGCUAAGCUCCCUGUUCUCCAGCAUACGGUCAAGCGCAGCUCUGCUCUCCUCGAACCGACUCCGAUUGGCUGCAUCGACGACGUACACGAUGGCGUGAGCCUCGCUAUAGUAUUUGUCCCAAAUCGAGCGUAGGCCGCUCUGUCCCCCAAGGUCCCAGAAUACGAGGUUAUUCUUAUGAGCUUCAAUUCGGCCGACGUUGAGUCCCACGGUUGGCAAGAUUUUGCCAGGGUCCAGUCCGAUCGAUUGUGUAAAUAUGGUUUUUAGCCUCUCCAGGACCUGAGUGAACGUUGGCGGACAGUGAUUUAGGAGCCAGCAUAGAAUGUCCUCAGCUGCUGCAAAGAACACUAGCAGCUUACGUUGGUUUUACCCGCCUUGUCCACGCCCAGAAUUAGGACGUGGAACUCAUCCUUUCGAAAUAGGUAUUCAUAAAAACCGUACAAAAGAGAAAACAUGCGUGCAGUCUGGGAUGCCGAUGGCUCAACGUCGUGUGCAUACGUCAGAAAAGAGUUACAUGUCCUUAGCCUUACCAGAGGAUAGUUUACAAAGAACUUUCAUCGACAACGACAUGGUUAGAUAGAUCCGGCAGGUAAGACAAAUGGGCAGACGGUUGCUACCGUACGUAUCCGCCUAUUUCCCAUUGUACACAACUGAAUUCAACGUAGGCAUAACUCCAGAUGACACAUGGCCGUUGCACCACUGUAUUGAGGCUUGCCGCUUAGCCCGACAGACCAUCGGUCACUUUACAAGCCAGCGGACCCGCCGGGUCUUUGUGCUCCUCCUAGUGGAUAUACCGCAGGCCUGCAAAAGGCUCCCGACUGCGCUAAAUUCCAAUCCUGCAUCUUGAUCAUUAAGCACGGCUUUUUUGAAAACGGCCUUUGGAACCUUUGCAAGGACCUUCUCCGGGACACAGCUACAGUCCUUUCAAAACUGUGAACUUUAUGAGCUAGCUUUUUAGCUUUCCACCAAAUCAACGUAUAAAGCAUGGAUAACACGGCACCAUCAUACCGUCCGGAAUUCGCGGCGCAAGCCAGCUAUGAUGAUACCCCUGCGCAGUAUCAUGCGCAGGAAGAGGAGCAGCAGACGGAAGGAUUGGCACUGCACCCUGCCUCCCCAUCUUUGCACGACAGACUAGCAGCAGAGCGGCACGUCCCUCGGCCCGUCCCGUCACUCGGGCUCGAGGUGCGCGAUGCCACAUCUGGACAGUUCCAGAUGCGACAUCACUCUGACUCACUCUGACUCACUCUGACUCACUCUGACUCACUCCGACGGAGAUGCCGGCAGCAUGCGGGACAGGUUUUGCACAAUGGCAGGCCAGGUGACAUAUCCUUAUCACCGCUUAACCGUAGCUUGAUUAUCCUACUCGGCAACUGCCGCUGCAGGAUGCGGGUGCGUUGGAUCUGGCGGCUGUGGAGGCCGCAGCCGGCUUGGGCACGGAAGAGGCUGCCCAGCUGCGCAGGCAGGCACAAGACGAAGUGCUGGCGGAGCUGAAGGGCGAGGUUCGUUGCGUCUGUGCUGACGGUUUUUGAGGUCGUCGUCCGCAGUGAUAUGGCGGUGAUAUGACCUGGCUGGUCAGGGUUUGCAGACGCGCUGCGCUUACGUCUUUAUGCUGCCCUAUGUCUGGGGUCUGCGGAUGUACACCAUAUCCACUAAAAGCUUUCAACUGCUGCCGUUUUAGAAGACGUUUGCCACGGCUUCUCUCCGCUCCUUGGAUAUCGCUCCAUCUAUGUCUUACAGCAGCCUGUUCUAAGAGUCUGUGCCGCCUCAGGGUUUCUCAGCCAGCUCCCCCCCCCAUGCAGACCAGUGCUACGGGGUAUCUGAUAAUACUAACAAUGCUGGAACAAUGGAAAACUGAAUCGACCCAUGGUUCAUUCUAAACUCUUAUGUUUCCAUAACGUAUAUUGUUACCUCCCGACGCUUGCAGGUCACCCAGAGGCGGCAAGCGGUUGCAGGGGAGUCUCAGGAGAUGAGCCACGUGCUGCCGCACCGCCACCACCAAGGACAGCCGCACCGCCACCACGGUAUCGGAGAGGAGCGUGGCCCCGGUUCUGAAGGUGCGACAACAGCCUUGGUUAAGAUACAUACAUACGUGCAGACACAGAUCAUAUAAACGGAGCCGCUGUGUUGGAGUUUGGCCUGAUACAACAGCAACAACAACACACAGAACAUACAUGUAUCAUAUCCACCGUUGAGGAACUCCCAAGGCGUGUACGUGCACUCGCUAGGAGCAUACAGCGUACAACUGGUCUAAGGGGCCUUACGCAGGCCUCACCAGUGCUUAGCGUGCUACCGAUGUUUUAAAAUUGGUGCUGGAGUCUCCUGCGGGAUGGUGGUUGCAACUGCACCAAUCUAUGCCUGCAUGCUGCAUCCCGUGCUACUAGGGGUGGUGGUGGCGGUGCUGUAGCUGGUGUUGACAUCUAGGUGCAAGUGUCCCAUCUUUUGCCAUGUAGUGCUACUGGCCUUGGUCCUGAUGGCGCAGCGCCUGAUAGAUGGUUGUUGUUGUUGUUGGUGGUGGUGGUGGUGGUGGUGCUGGUCCUGAUGGCGGCUGUUGCAGGUGCGCUACUCAAGUUCGCGCGGGCAGUGGCUGCAGAGCGACACGAAUCAGUCCGUCACGUGCUGGAGACCGUACCGGCAGUUCCCGUAGAUAUCCGUCGACUGGACAGCAAGUCGGAUGGAGAUUAGGGCAUGAAGUCGUGUGAACAGCAAAUGGAACAUUUGGAGCGGGAGACGAGUUGAGGCUUGAUAACAUGCAUGACGAAAUGUCAGGAAAUGAGACUGCAACGAAGCGGAAGGAGACUAGGAGGGAAAUGUGUGACGAGGACGAGUAGAGAAAGCCAAUGCUUUAAUAAGGUUUGAGAGGGUGAGGGCUGCUAGACUUGAACUGAAUGUUUUGCCCCGCGGGCGCGCACCAUGCGCAUUUGCUCGGUAAAGCCGGGUUCGACUAUCGAUUUGCAGUAACUCUAAUCUUGCUCUGGUGUUCUAGGAUCAGAAUAAGUCUUCCGGCUCUAGAAAACAGUUUGUAAGUUCUUGCAGCUGUUGUGCUGCUCAGCUUGUGCACGCUAACGGAAGAAUGCGUUGAUGUACGGCAGUUUUUGGACAGAACCAACCUCAUUUUCAUUUUGUGACAGAAUGGACUUACACCUUCCAAUUGUCAAUUUCUCAACUUAGUUCAAACGCGUUGUCCUCCUUCGGCACCUCGAACAUUUGCACUACCCAGAAUAUUAUGUUAUGAUAGGACAGGUUUGGAUUAUCUUACCUAGUAGGGUUUAACAAGGCAUAGCAGGGCUUGCGCAAUCAAAAGCGCGGCCCGAAGUAAAAGCAUGGCAGAGCCUGGACUGGAUACGCUUCGGUUGGAGGACUCAGACGAUGAUUUUAAAUAUGAGGAAGUUGAUGUUAUGAGGUAAAAAAAGCUUGCCCCUUUGGUGGUCGAAGGCUGAGGGACGCGCAUGUUCGAUGCUCGGCCUUUACGAUGUGCUGCAGUGAUGGGGAGGAUGACGCAAGCGAGGACCUUGAUGCGGCUUUGCGAAAGCUCCAAGCCUUCACAGCUAAGGUAGGGCUGGCGUAACCAGGACAGCGCGACCAGCCAAUGCUUCGCGCUCAGCGUGAUCUGAACUCCAUCCCCCAUAUGCUACAGGACACAGCAACGCCACGUGCUCGGCCACAGGAGGUGCAGCCCGGGCAGGUGGUGAAAAAACCGGAGGUCAUCGAUGACUUUCUGCGGAACUUUUUCAUAAAAAUGGGCCUCUCGCGCACGUGCGAGUGCUUCGAAGCGGAGUGGUAUGAACUCAAAGCCACGGGGCGCCUGGACACUGCCACAACAGUACCCGACGUGUACCUGCGUAACGCGGUGGGUCAAAAGCCGUCCACAUUCAGCCUCAUGUACACUCGAACCUCUAGCACAAGGCAUCUCAACUUCACCCGGUGCUGACAGGAAUAAAAGCUCCUUGCCCGCGUUGUCCUUGACUGGUACGGGAUGAAAUGCUCUGGCCUUGGCUGAAACAAAACGGGCUGGGCCGGGCUCAGCUGCGCUGGGCUUCCCUUGUAGGGCGACCUUCUCAUCUGACUUAUUAGGUUAGAAGGAAAUGUAUGAUAUAAUCAUGAUGGAUUUCGGGGAUUCAACUAGGUUGGGGAUGAGGUUGGAGAUGAUACAGAUACUGAAUUCGGUGGGUUCAUCUGGGUCACGGGGACUGUGGAUCAAGGGGACUCACUAGGGGGUGAGAUAGCUGGGAAGGGGAAAUUGGCUUGGGUCUGGUAGUUGGGCAGUGUAGAGCCCGGGUUGUAAAGUUGCAGGUCUGCACAGUUCACUUUAAAAGGUAUCGCCUCCAUGUGGUCUCCAAUGAAAGUUAAGAUGGGUUUGUCUACCUCUAGGUGGACUAAGCUGCGUCAGGAAGCUUGAUUCGGUCAAUAGGUCAAUAGCUAAAUGAACGUCUGGUACAUGAAACGAAACACAAAACUGUCAUCUGGGUGAAGGGCAGAACCAUUGGGUGGGUGGGUGAUUUGGAGCCCUUGGCCCGUCCUGGGGCCCCGGUAUGGGCUACAGGGAAGGUUGCAAUGACCCGUGGGUCAGUCGGGGUUGUUUGUGCUCUGGCCUAAGCCCUGUCACCAGCGGCAUGGAGAGUCGAGGGUGGCCCUAGACAGCUGGCCGCGCAGGCAACUGCAGUUGGGAAGGACUCGGGUGCCUGGGGAAAAGCGAAGCGAUUGUAUUCCAGGUUCAAGUGUUGGUCUUUCCAGCAUGGGAGGUGCUACACGGCCCCCCUUCGCGGCGUGUUGUGGGAAAGAGAUUGAGCGGACUUGAGCGGGGCGCAGUCGUGAAUGCAGUUGCGUGUGGUCCCUCCUGGCUCCUUAUGUGUGUGUAGGGGUAUGUAGGUGUAGGUGUGUGGGGGUGGGAGGGGUGUGGGGGCUGGGAGGGGGGGAAAGGGGGAAAAUGGGCCCGGGAAGGAGGUAAGGAGGUCCGGUUCGGGGUCUCUUCCUGCUGGGGUUGUGGCGCCUCUGCGCCUCGGCCACGUGGAUGCGUGAAUGGGAGGGGGUAAGGGGGGUUGGAGGCCAAAGAGGCAGGGCACAUGGGAGAGGAAAAUCGUUACGUGCCAGAUGCAGAGGGAGUGAGGAACGUAUUUGUACACGUGAUGUGAAAGGCCUUUUGAGUGCACCUUGGCUUGGUGCAGUCGGGUGUAGAGCGCGGAGCCCAGAUAUGAUCUGUGUGAGCUGCCGGGGUACCCGUGGGUGACCCGUCCCGCACCUAACAGCUUCUUUCCUGCUAUUUCCUGCUGGCCCCCCCGCGAGCGACCCACACCUCCAUGUCCAUGGACGGCUCUUUCCCUUCCCCCCCUUCCAGUGGGUGCUUCGGACGUCGUCAGCUCUUUGUGUGUGUGUGUGUGUGUGAUUCCCCUGUUGCGUGUGAUUCCCCUCCCUCCCUUUUCCAGCUUUGGGAGGCAGCUUUUCCCCUUGUGGGCCGUAUCCUCCUGCACCGUCCCCUUCCCAUUGUCAUCUGCACAGCUCAACCUUAACUUCACACAGCGGGCAAUGUUUAUCCUUCCUGCCCUGCCCUGCCUUGACCAGUCCUGUCCUAUCCUAUCCUAUUCUAUCCUCUUCUAUGUGCUGCUUAAAAGAGUUUUUUUAUACCCAAAGCUGCACUUCACCUGCACUUUUUAUAAGGUGGUGAUGUUUGAAAUAUAUGCGGUGACCGCCGGCCACUGUUUAUUUCAUUCAUUUUUUGCUGGUCUGUCACCGCGGGUCUGUCACCCCCUCUUCCGGUCCGCCGCUGGCAGGAGUUGGAGGAUGAGGUGGCCAGUCUCCGUAGGGAGCUCGCGGAGGCUAAAUCCAUCGCCGCCCGUGCGAGCGCCACGUGGGACACGUUUCGAAAGGAGAGGGACUUUCACCGAAUGCACCACAAGCGGGUGGCGCAGGUACGGCACCGUCAGGGGGCUCUGAGGGGAGGUAACAGGGGAGUGGGUAGGAGUGGGGAGAUGAGGGGUUUUGAUGGCCAUGGGCUAUUGUCGGCCUCCAGUGUACCAUCAGCUAGGCAUUGCUGGUGAUGGGCAAGGGGUGUGUGUGUGUGGAAAAGGGGGGGAAAGGGGGGGGAAGGUGAGGAGAGAAAAGACGAACCACGAACGAGUGAAGCUGAUGCCGUGUGGGCGGGGACAGGCGGCGAUGGCGGCCCCGUCGGAGGAGUCCCUUCCAACCGACAUCCUCCUUCCAACCUACAGCUCCAUACCCCGCUCCCCCAUCCCUCCAUUCAGUAUUGCAUCUACUGCUCACUGUGCAUAUAACCGUACAACCCCACUCAUCCCGACCUCUCCCGCCAUGCCCUCUAGCCAGUUAAGUUAAGACGCCUUUCCUGCAUGUUGCGUAAUCGUAUGAUGGAUCCCCCUCCUCCAUCCCGAUUCCAGGAGAAGAACAAGCUGCUGACGGACCUUCGCCGACUGAAGGAACACUACGCGAAAUAUGAGCCCACGAUUUUGGAGCUGAAGAAAAAGUACGAGGUGCUGAUGAAGGAGAAGAUGAUGGCGUGUCUGGAGAGGGACAAACUGGUGACCAAGGUGUGUGCGUGUAUGUGUGUCUGUGUCUGUCUGUCUGUCUGUGUGUAAAAGUUGGAAGAGGGGUUAGGAGGUGGAGGGGUGAUGAGCGGGAGUAGGAUGCAAACCGUCCCCGUGAUACCGGCUUUAGGCGAGCAUGGCACAGAGGACGGCGGGAGACAGGGAAAAAAGGAAGGAAGGAAGGAAGCAGGAGAGGGAGGGGGUGAGGUGGGAAGGGGAAAUAAAGGUAUGUGUGGAAACUGUGGGAAUUUAGGGAUUUGGAAAGUCAGGGAGGAGGAAGGUUUGAAAAAUGAAAGGGGUAAAGGGCGUAGCGAGCCGGCAAUGGGCAAAAGGUUGGCUUCCAGAGAGAGCAUCUGGGUUGCAUGCCACCGUGCUCUUGAGCCGGUCGCCAUGUGUUUGCACACAUACACACAGUCAAACAUAUACACACACACAGUCAAACACACAGUCACACACACACGCGCGCGCCCGCGAAUUUGACCGCGACCGCGACGGCGGCAUGGAAUGACCACCGCAGGUGGAGGCGCUGGAGGCGGCAAACGCCAACGCCAGCGCCGUCGCAGCCAUCAUGGGUGAGCGCAGCGUCGGAGGCGCCAGCUCCACAAGUGCAACUCGUACAACAGCAGCAGCAGCCGCCAACGGCGGCGGCGCCGAAGGCGCCGGCGGCGGCGGCGGAGCCGCCGCCGCCGCUACGGGCCGCUCCGGCGGCACGGCAUCCGCGGGCCCGCGCAGCGGCUGGGCGUCACUCAACGCGCCGCCUCGCCGCAACCCGUAUCUGGAUUUGGAGUUCCCAGCUGCUCCCGUCAAGAUGUUGUCGCUGAACAGGACGUUCAAGGGGCACCUGCUGUCGGUGGCCAAUCUGGCGCUGCACCCCACGAAGCCCAUCCUGGUUACGGCCUCAGAUGACAAGACGUGGAAGAUGUGGCACAUGCCAGGUAGGUGAGAUGGCGGCGGCGGUGGCGGUGGCGGUGGCGGAGGAGGCGGGGGUGUGAGGGGAAGGCUGGUUUUAGGGACGAGAGAAUGAUGCCGCGAGGCGUUGAGAAAGCAUUUUUGAAGGCGGCAUGGACACGUUCAGGCACCCAACGGCCACCCACUCGACCAGUAGCUCGAUCAGUAGACCGUGAAAUCAUCCCUGCUCCGGAAAAGAAACCUCCAUAACAGAUAUUUAGGGGUUUCAACCCCAUCAUGGGGCCCCGCAGAUUCCUCCUCUUACCCCCCCUUCAGUGGUUCGUCUUUUCCCCUUUCCGUUCUCCUACUGGGCUUUAGGUCGGGACCUAAAGGCUUUAGGUUGUGGAUCGUUGGUUCUGCCCCUUUACCCCUUCUUUCCCUAAAAGGGAACUUAGGGUGUUUUGAUACGUGCUCUUAGUCGUUGCCCACUAAUACAAGACGGGACUUCCCACUGUGAGCUCAGCUCAUGGGCUCAGCCCGGUUCAGCGUAAAAAGUUUGGUCACCUAUAAGCGACAAUCUCGUGUAAUAGGUACGGACGGUCCUCGCCUAAUAUACGAGAGCAUCGCUUAUAGGUGACCAGACAUUUUACUGACUACUACUACUACUAUUGUAGUAGUCAAGAGCCCCCUCUCCUUAUUUUCCUUACCAAACCUGUACGGCUGUGUACGGCUGUGUACGGCUGUGUACGGCAGGUGGCGACCUGAUUAUGUGUGGUGAGGGUCACAAGGACUGGGUGGCGGGUGUGGACUUCCACCCAGCGGGUGUUUGCCUGGCGUCCGGCAGUGGCGACUCCACCGUGAAGAUUUGGGACUUUGAGAAACAGCGAUGCACCACCACAUUCACCGACCACAAACAGGUGCGUGAGAGUGUGUGAGUCUAUGGAUGAGAGAGUGUGAGUCUGUGGAUGAGAGAGUGAGAGUCUGUGAAUGAGAGAGUGAGUAUGUGAACACCCACACCUCCCGGGGAUCAGAUUCCUUGUUGCCCUUGUCGUGUUGUACUGGGAGCUCCAGCUGUUCGUCAUCACCCCAAUACCACCAUCACCAGUACCGCCACCACCACCAUCACCAUCGUUACCAACAACCGACAACCGACAAUUAACCACCACCACCAACAGCAACGCCAGUGUCAGCAGCAGGGCUAGGUGCAAAGCGCAUCGGCGGUUAUGUCGCGAUUCACUACAACAGAAAUCAUUACUUGUACGACAGCCCGUCAAAACAAAAGUCUUGAGUUAAGCACCCUCGCAUCACCAGGCCUUAUCGCACUAAUCCGGACACUGGACUGUUCCAGUGCACUUGUGUUUUUCCCUCGUCCUAAACCCCUUCCCCCCUUCCCCNNNNNNNNNNNNNNNNNNNNNNNNNNNNNNNNNNNNNNNNNNNNNNNNNNNNNNAUGGAUGUAAAUUGAAGUCAAAGUGUAUAUGCGAAGAUGAACGGUUCGGUUGAUUGAUGUCGUCACCGCGGUUUGUCUCAUGGAAUCCCGCGAGUUGCCUGUUUUGGAUGCCGGUCAAACCUUUUUUUACGCUCAUGCCGUCCCUCUCCCCUAGAAAAACCCACACGCUCCUUACGCCCUCUCCCCUCCCCUCCCCUCCCCCCACACGCUCCGAAACCCCGACCCCCAGGUCCGGCUCUGGGACCUUCCGGCGUCUAAAUGCCGCAUGGCCCUUCGCGGGCACGUUGACUCGGUCAACGAGGUGGCCUGGCUGCCCUUCACGUCCUCCCUCGCCACCGCCUCCUCCGACAAAACCGUAUCCAUUUGGGACGCACGCGCUGGGCUUUGCACACAGGUGUGUAUGUGUGUCCGUCUGUCUGUCCGUCGGUCGGUCGGUCUAAACCCUACAUAAACUGAGCCGUGCGUGUGUGUCUGUAUGUAUGUGUGGAGAGGGAAAUGUUGGGGUAGUGGGGGAGGGAGAGAUGGAUUUGGGCUAUGGGUGUAUUUUAUUUACCAAGGGCCCCGGUUUACCGCCCGUUUCACUCCUCUCCUCUCUGUUUUAUCUCCUUCCAGGUCUUGAAGUACGCUUUGGCCUACACACCUUCCUGCCGACCUGGCACAUGAACACACGGAGAUAGUUACCUUAGGGUUUUGGCUGCUUCCUUUGUUCCGAACCAGCGACCCGCGACCCUGCUUUCCCUCUGCUUUCCAGUCCCGGCUCUGUUGUCCAAGAAAUGUCUCUCAUCCGCUUCAUACCGACUUCACAAUAUGACCUUUCCGCGGCCCCAUUUACUUCAAAUCCAACUUUGGCGGCCUCCCCCCCCUGCCCCGCCCCGCCCCGCUCGCCCACGCCGUACUCCGUACUCAUUAAAGACGUACUACGGCCACCAGAACAGUUGUAACGCGAUUACAUUUAACGUACUGGGUACGACGCUUGCCUCCACGGAUGCUGACGGAGUGGUGAAGCUGUGGGAUACGAGAAUGACGGCGGAGAUCCGUACAAUCAACACGGGUACGGCAGUGUGUACGAACGCAUUCACGGAUAUCAUAUACGCGCAUAUUCGCACAGGGUAGAGCGCACGAUCCUACGUGAGGUUGGGGGAUAUAACAUAAUUGCGGGCGGAUAUAUAAUAUGCGGGACUUGGCGUUGUGCUCUUUGCGAAGCUGCAGAGGUUUCAAAACCGACCCGCCCCUGUCGACCCGUCCGCCCGUCGCUGGCGUCAGCUCCCCCCUCUUAUGGUGCCCUCUUUGGCCUCUUCCCCCCGCUCUCUCAUCCAUUUAUGGUACCUUCUGCGCUGCUUCCGUCGUACAUCUGCUACCCCUGCCGUACAGGUAAACACCCCGCUAACAAGGCCGCGUUCGACCGGUCGGGCCACAUCUUGGCGGUGGCUUGCGACGAUGGGAAGAUCCGGGCAUACAGCACAUCAGACGGCGUGUUGCAGGUGCGUUUUUGUUGGCGUUGGGUGCAGAGGAGGUCGAGAAGGUUUGGGACCACGUGACUGCUGUGAGUGUUCUUUUUUGUGUGUGGGUUGGGCCGUUUUGGGAUUUUCGAGAGCGCUUGCCUUCUGGGUUGGAUGGCUAGGGAUGGCUAGGGUUUGUGGGGCCCAGCUGUGGGGCCUUUGUUCGGAUUUUAUGGCUUGUUCGGUUAAAAAUAUCCGGAGCCCAGUUCUUUUAUCCGACAUACCGAGUUCCUAUGUUCUGUUUCUUUGUCCCGCAAGUCCGCGACUGCAUGUACACGUGUCGCCGUGUUCGUAAUCUCCACGUAGACGGACUUGUACCUGCGUGGGGUUCCCUUUUCAGUUUUCAGUCGUGAGAAUGUCGUAUAUUGGAGUAUGUAGGUGCGCAGUCUUACUUAAGGAGAAGGUGCGAAGCAUGAAAAUGUAUGAAUGUAUGUAUGUAUGUAUGUAUAUAUGUAUGUAUGUAUGUAUGUAUGUAUGUAUAACCGCGCAGGCGGAGCUGACCGGUCACGAGGACGCCGUCCAAGCCGUUAUCUUCGACCCUGCCGGCCAAUACCUCAUGUCUUGCGGCUCCGACAACACCUUCCGAGUCUGGUCUUGAGCAAUAUUGCAGCGCCUGAUUUCUGUGUACACUGUACAGCAUUCAGUGCCGUACACUGCACGUGGCGGUCGCGUUCCGGAGCGAAUGGGGGCUUGGAUCUGCUAAUCAGUAGCCAGUCAAUUUGACAUAACGCCGCAUCACCUUGUGCUGCAGCAGCAUCUUGUGUUUCUGUCGUGUCGUGUCGUGUCGUGCCGGGGAGGGGUGGACGGUUUGCGACAUGUGUACGGAUCAUUGUAUGUGCGGGAGAUGAAAGGGGGAUGAAAGGGGGAGCUUAUCAUUGCACCGAUUUCGGUGCAAGGAUGGAGGAGGGAAGGGCAGUGCAGUGCACAGUUGGAGGUGCGCGACUGGGAAGCAGCCAGCGUAUUGGGGAGAUGGCGGGUGGCCGCACGUGCGAAGGCGCGCUUGUGCCACUUGGCAGGCAUGCGCUGUGAAAUACGGACGGUACGGCGGAGAGCCGGAAGAACGGAAAUCUUGGUGUGUGAAGUGCCAAGGUGAUGUGGGCUUAAUUCACCGCUUUGGCCGCAGAGCUGCAGUGCCGUUGCCUUUCUCGACCUUCAGCCUUUCCACGCGCUGCUGUCGGGGGGUUACUGGCGCUUUUUAAGACGGCAUGCGUCGGUUUGCAUGCGCGCUGGCGUGGUAUCUGGCAUUGUGCGUGUGUGAGAGAUGAUGACUAUAUAAUUGUCCUUAAACCUGGCUUUGACUUUGAGCGUUAGUCGUUGCAUAUCGGGUUCAGAGAUACACCGCAGCAGGAAGAGGGGAAAAACGGUAGAAGAGAGGGAAAAGACACUGGGAAGACGUAGGGGAGACAAAGGGAAGGAAAGGGAAGACUUUCCCGACGCAGCCGUGUGUCCUCUGCCUGUCCGUGUAUCUGCUUACUUGUCCGUCUUCCUGCGAAGGCAAGAACCGCCUCAAUCUUGGGCGACGUCUCCUGUAUAUCUGUGACGAUGGCGCGGCAACGAUGACUUGAACCUCACAAUGUGCCGGUUAGUAGGGACAGGGAAGCACACGCUGGAGGUUGUGAAUAUCUCCGCUGCUGUAAGAAGCAACGACUGCGUCCAUUCGUAGAAAAUUGUCGUUGGGGAUAGUUGCUACAGUUGCGCAGUGAACAGGAUGCAGCCUGGACUAAAGUCAGCAGACAAGCGGCGAUGGCAUCGCAGCGAUUACUAGUGUCUCGCCCUUGCGUAAGUUUACAUUCUAGCCUUCUCGGGCCAAGUUGGACAAGCUGGGUGUCGACAAGCGUUGGACGUCAAGCAGAGCAUAUAGCUGUCAGUAGUAUUUGUACCGCGAUCGUAAACAUGUAAAUUGUGCAAAUUAGAGAAUAAUGAGUAUUUAUAUAAUUUUUAAAGGUAUUUUCAAUUUUUUUUUAUAAUCACUAUGACGGUUAUUCCAUCCGUUUUUUAUAGCAUCAAUACCAUAUUCUAGUUCUUUUUCUCCUAUAGAAGGUCCAGCUGUUAAGAUUAGAUCGUAUAUUUUCAUAAGAACUAGAGAUAAUAAAUGUAAAUCUAUAAAAAAAUAAAUAUAAUUUAAGCACUAAAAUUAUUCCAGAAAAAGUAAAAAGUAUUUUUAAAGGCAGUAAGCUGAUAAGGAUUUCGGUAGUAUAAAUUAUUGAAAAAAAUUCUAUAAGGAAAAAAAUAUAAAAUGAUUAAAAUUGCACGUUACGGGUAAGUGGUAAGAUAUCAGUACUAUUAAAGUUUACCGAUAUUAUACUAGCGAAAUGCGGGAUUAUUACGUUGAGGUGUUUGCUGAAGGUCAGAAAAUUUAUUUCUAAUAUUAGUGGCUACAGCAACAAGGUCCCGAAUGAGAACCUCCGGUUCAUGCUUUUUGAAAAUCUGAUAAUAAGAAUUACCAGAUUUUAUAUUAUUUACUGCGUUAGCUUCAUCAAUGUUACUUUUCCUUUGUCUCUUUGCUAAGGCAUCACGGACAUAUCUGUUGAAUUGUGAUUUAAUCAUCUCUUCCUGCUUUAGAAAUUGAGCCUGUUAAAAAAUUUAUUCAAGGUUUUUGAGCUUUUCCUUAGCAAUUAAAUAAUUACUUAACCUGCUAUUUUGGUUUUUGAGAAAAACUUAUAAGGUUAUUAAGGUAAGGAACUAAGCCAGCAAUUAACAUUAAAGGUAUAAAAGUAGGAAUAGAUAUUUUAUGGGAAUAUUCUGGGUCAAUUGCUACGUUGUUUUCAUAAAAAAAAAGAUUGAUAUAUAGGCCCAAUCUUGUUGGAUAAACAAUUUUAGUUUUAUAAUAAUUACGAAAAUGGUUAAUAAUUCCGCUAAGGCUGGCUAUUUGCCUCCGUGCCUGUUCAAUAUUUUCUUUCCUUCCCUCCUAGUCCACCCCUGCGCCAGAUGAGAAGUCCACUUUAUACUAACUUUUUUGUAUCAUAUUGUCAUCCUCCAUUUUAAAUUUUGGCGUAAAGUUAAAAUAAUCAACAUUCUAAAAUAUAUACACUUAGAAUUUUCUAUAUUUAACUGUGAAAAUGAGCACUUGAUCAAAAAGUACUUGAAACAGGUUAAUAUUGUUUUCCUUGUUUUAGUUGAACUUUAGCUCAAAACAUCGCUAUCGGCAAAGCCAGAAGUUUAUCAGAACCUUGAUUAAAAUUCUUCUUUCGAAUAAAUUUUUUAACAGGCUGAAUUCAUUUUUUUAAUGUCAUGAUAUUAAUAUUAUUUCUUUUUGAAUAGUCUACUACCAUCUUUAGAAACUCUUAGCAAGCCAGUAUCUUCAAGAGUUGACAAUAAAAAAUACUUAUAUAUCUUGGAUAAAAAAUGCCAGGAGUGCCAUAAAUAAAGGCUGAGAUUAUGGAUAAAAAAUUAGUAGCUUUGGUUGGAAGGCCAAAUGUUGGGAAGUCUGAUGAUAUCGGUAUCCAGCAUAAGAUACUAUAUUCUUGCUGCGAUAUUAAUCCUAGCAAUUUUGUUAGCAAAAUUGGUUGGUUCGUCUAGAAUCAAAAAAUGAAAGCUUCUAUCCUUUCUUGGUACGAGUAUGGUAUUUUUACUGGAGUAGGUUUCAUAAUCAUUGCUGCUUCUUCCGGGUCAUUAAUCCUGCAGACAAUAUUACGGAUAUAGAAUUCACGGCAAUUUUUAAUAUUAAUUUCCUUAUUCUUUUUGCUAUUUAACUAUUAAUUAAUACUACUAUUAUUUUUUGCUAUUUUAAUAUAAUAAAAUAUAUUUUAUCAAUAUCUUCCGGGCAUAUAUCAUAAAUUUUACCUACACUGCCGGAAUGCUGGCAUUCCAUUAAUUUUCUACUUUUAUGAAUUACCAUUGAUGCCGAGCAUUUGCUAGUUAAAGAUAUGUNNNNNNNNNNNNNNNNNNNNNNNNNNNNNNNNNNNNNNNNNNNNNNNNNNNNNNNNNNNNNNNNNNNNNNNNNNNNNNNNNNNNNNNNNNNNNNNNNNNNNNNNNNNNNNNNNNNNNNNNNNNNNNNNNNNNNNNNNNNNNNNNNNNNNNNNNNNNNNNNNNNNNNNNNNNNNNNNNNNNNNNNNNNNNNNNNNNNNNNNNNNNNNNNNNNNNNNNNNNNNNNNNNNNNNNNNNNNNNNNNNNNNNNNNNNNNNNNNNNNNNNNNNNNNNNNNNNNNNNNNNNNNNNNNNNNNNNNNNNNNNNNNNNNNNNNNNNNNNNNNNNNNNNNNNNNNNNNNNNNNNNNNNNNNNNNNNNNNNNNNNNNNNNNNNNNNNCCCGGACGAGGUCUAACGGCAGCUUGCCAUGCCGCAGUACUCGGCUCACAAGCAAGCGCACGACCAAGAAAACCAGAAUCAGCGGGAGAAGCUUGAAGGAGAGCUUAAGAAGGAGAUUAAGAAGCUGCAGCGGUUGCGAGAGCAGAUAAAGGGAUGGUGCGUCAGGGUGGGGAUCGCGGGACGCAGCAAGCUAAGCGUCGCUCAUGCGUCGACUGCUUUGGCUAUUAUAGGAUCGCUGGAGCGGAUAUCAAGGACAAGCAGCCGUUGAUCGAUGCACGCAAGUCUAUAGAGCGCGAUAUGGAGCGUUUCAAGGCUUGCGAAAUGGAGGCCAAAGCGAAGGGCAGCGCAGCAGGGGGAGCCGACCGUGAUUCUACGCAGCGCGCAAAGGAUCGGGCGCGGGACUUGAUUAAGACGGUCGUGGAUCAGCUUACUGAGAAGGUAGGCGUGAGCGGAUGCGGUGUAUGUCGGGUUUCAUGGCUUCGGCCAUGAGGCCGCAGCAUACGGGAGGGAAAGGGCGAUGGAGGAAGGGCGAUGGACGAAGGGCUGGUCUGCAAGGAAGCAGAGCUCCCGUGCUCACGGCGGCACGAAUUGGCGUGGAGGCCCUAAUCCUAAUCUUAAGCCCCUAAUCUUGCUUCCUCAACGCGCAUGUGCUGGCAAUGCCUGUCAUUUGCAUAGGCCCAGAAGCCACCCACCCUGUAACAAUUAAUACGUCUACUCCCGUGUUGCGUGGACCAGCAGAUGUGCUCCUCCUCCUCCUCCACAUGACCACCUCUCUCACCACACGCAUCCCAUGAAAUAGGCACCGCUUGCAGUUUUUGCUCUUGUAAUGCUUCAUUCUAUUUGUAGUUUUCCUUACUGCACAGGGUUUAUUGCAAUGUGGGUCUCUCGCCGCUCUCCCCCUUUUCCCUUGGUUGUAUUUUUUGCUCCUUGCAUACGAUUGAUUUUCCUACCUGUUUCAUUCUUGCCUCAUUCUUUUCCCGCCCGUCUCCCGCCCGUCUUUGGGCUCUGCAGGUGGAGUCCAUGGAAGCGGAAAUGGAGGAGCUGCAGGUGGGCCUGUUGGGGGGGGGCUGGUUUUCAGGGGAUUGUUUGCCUCGCGCUGCGCCGCGGUUUUGGAGCAUGUUGCGCCGCCAAAAGGGAGAAACACACACACGCACACGUUUAGGGUUGGCAAAAAUACUAUAUUUAUUUUCCCAAAUAGUAUAGUAUAGUAUGAAAUAGUACUAUAUAUAGUAAUAUAGUACUAUGAUACUAUUACUAGGCAGGUACACGCUCCCUGUAGAAGGGGGGUGUACGACCAGCCGUUGUACCUGAAAAUUACACCGUUGGAAAGGUCUUCUUUUGUUCUUUCUAAAUAUUUACUUAGACAUGGGAAAGCAGAUCGCUGUGGUCAUCCAGAUCACUUUUUGUUAGUUCGGUGCCCGGUAGGUGGACCCCAAACCCCAUGUCUCAUGGCGUGUUAUGGNNNNNNNNNNNNNNNNNNNNNNNNNNNNNNNNNNNNNNNNNNNNNNNNNNNNNNNNNNNNNNNNNNNNNNNNNNNNNNNNNNNNNNNNNNNNNNNNNNNNNNNNNNNNNNNNNNNNNNNNNNNNNNNNNNNNNNNNNNNNNNNNNNNNNNNNNNNNNNNNNNNNNNNNNNNNNNNNNGCAGCGCCUUGGUUGCCCUGCAAGCCCGCGUUGCCACGGAUGUAAACGAUCUUCUCCGCCCGCUCAAUGGCCAGCCGAUUGCGCGCCUUCGUGUAGACGAGGCCCCAUGCCGACCAGUUGCGCUCGGACGAGCAGGUUGAUGCGCGCAUCAGCAGCAAGCGAAUGGCUGCCGAUGCAAUCAGUGGGAAUUGUGAAGCGAGGUGCACAUCCCAGUAGCUGAUGCAGUCAUCCAGUGAAGCCCCCAUCACACAGGUGCUGCUGUCAGGCAACAAUUUCUCCUUGUGCAUGCGCAUAAGCUCAGACCACUCGUCGAACGCUUUGGGAAUGCCCAGUCCCAGGCGUGUCCACUCCUCCCCGACCCGGUCCCGCUUUGCUGGCUGAGUGACGCUGCACGCUGUUUGAUAGCCUUGCAAGCACCUUGCUUGAUGUGGUGCGCGUUGGUAAAGGAUGGGUUCACUGUGCUGAGCGGCUCAUCGCAGAACAGGCAGACUAGCUUUGGUACACCACCCCACCACUCCACAUCGAAGUUGUCCCAAAGACUACCCGUCUUGGUGUUCUUCUUCUGGUUACGAAGCUUGUUAAGAAGCUCGUUCCGAGAACGGAGAACUUCAGAGGGGACGUCUGGACCAGGAUGCAAGCCUCUGAUCGCCUUCUCAUUCUUUAUACUGGAUUCCUUUGAUAUUAUUCAUCAAUUACUACGUAGCACAGCUCGAAGACGCGGCUAUAGCCCUUCAAAAUACAGCUUGACUGCAGAUCUCGACUUGGUCCAACUAGUACUGGACACUAUCCAACCCCAAAUCUAGUACUAUAUAGUACUAUUUUUACUAUACUAUUUUACUAUGUACGAACGCGGUACGAGCGUCGUAAACUAGCACCAGUUUAGAGCCCUGCAUAGUAAAUAGUACUAUGCAUAGUACUAUUAUAGUAUAGUACUCUUUUUCUAGUAUAGUACCCGUGCCAACCCUACACACGUUCUCUCUUAAGACCGGGUUUUGCAGCAUAAGCAUGUCGGGGUUUUUGAUGCACCCACCCUCUACUGCCAUUCCGUGUUAUCUAGGGAGUGCAGGAAACGGGAACAAUGGGGUUGUGGACGGAGGGGUUUUGUUGUUCCUAUGUGGGGUGCUAGUGGGGAGGGCCGGUAAGGGUUUGUCCUCGAAGUAAGCGUGGUGUGGUAUGUUGCUGAGUGGGGUAGGACCCUGUUCGUUGCGUUACGCGGCAUCGCAUUGUUGCGGGUGUGUGUUCAAAACCUUCCACUGCCUGUUCGGGCGAAUUGUGGUAAGGGCGCGAUGGUGGUGAUGGCGUAAUGAUCAUUAUUGUUGCUGNNNNNNNNNNNNNNNNNNNNNNNNNNNNNNNNNNNNNNNNNNNNNNNNNNNNNNNNNNNNNNNNNNNNNNNNNNNNNNNNNNNNNNNNNNNNNNNNNNNNNNNNNNNNNNNNNNNNNNNNNNNNNNNNNNNNNNNNNNNNNNNNNNNNNNNNNNNNNNNNNNNNNNNNNNNNNNNNNNNNNNNNNNNNNNNNNNNNNNNNNNNNNNNNNNNNNNNNNNNNNNNNNNNNNNNNNNNNNNNNNNNNNNNNNNNNNNNNNNNNNNNNNNNNNNNNNNNNNNNNNNNNNNNNNNNNNNNNNNNNNNNNNNNNNNNNNNNNNNNNNNNNNNNNNNNNNNNNNNNNNNNNNNNNNNNNNNNNNNNNNNNNNNNNNNNNNNNNNNNNNNNNNNNNNNNNNNNNNNNNNNNNNNNNNNNNNNNNNNNNNNNNNNNNNNNNNNNNNNNNNNNNNNNNNNNNNNNNNNNNNNNNNNNNNNNNNNNNNNNNNNNNNNNNNNNNNNNNNNNNNNNNNNNNNNNNNNNNNNNNNNNNNNNNNNNNNNNNNNNNNNNNNNNNNNNNNNNNNNNNNNNNNNNNNNNNNNNNNNNNNNNNNNNNNNNNNNNNNNNNNNNNNNNNNNNNNNNNNNNNNNNNNNNNNNNNNNNNNNNNNNNNNNNNNNNNNNNNNNNNNNNNNNNNNNNNNNNNNNNNNNNNNNNNNNNNNNNNNNNNNNNNNNNNNCGUGUGUAUGUGUGUGUAUGUGUAUGUGUGUGUUUCGACGUGAGCCGAAGUAAGAAGAAAGGAUUGGCGGGUGGAAAGAGAAAAAAAUUGAGGGGGGGAGGUAGGGGGCUGUUGGGUGGGUUGGGGGUAAGAUGAACCAUUGGCGAAUGAAGCAACGGGUGGGUGGGAAAGUCGGGUGUUCGUGGGGUUUGGGUGUGGUGUGGUGUGACGCUGCAUCACCUUGUGCUGGAGCAGCAUCUCGUGUUCGUGUCCUGGGGCGGUGGAUGGUUUGCGACAUGUGCACGGAUCAGAGAUGGAAGGGGGAUGAAAGGGGGAGCUUAUCAUUGCACCGAUUUCGGUGCAAGGAUGGAGGAGGGAAGGGCAGUGCAGUGCACAGUUGGAGGUGCGCGACUGGGAAGCAGCCAGCGUAUUGGGGCGGUGGCGGGUGGCCGCACGUGCGAAGGCGCGCUUGUGCCACUUGGCAGGCAUGCGCUGUGAAAUACGGACGGUACGGCGGAGAGCCGGAAGAACGGAACUUGGAUUGGGAUGGAAAUCGUGGUGUGUGAAGUGCCAAGGUGAUGUGGGCUUAUUGAGCCGCUUUGGGCGCGGAGCUGCAGUGCCGUUGCCGUUCUCGACCUUCAGCCUUUCCACGCGCUGCUGUCGGGGGCGCUUUCUUAAGACGGCAUGCGUCGGUUAGCAUGUGCGCCGGCUCGAUGUCUGACAUGGUGCGGGUGUGAGAGGUUAUGAUUAUAUAUCCGUCCUUAAACCUGGCUUUGACUUUGGGCGUUAGUCGUUGCAUAUUGGGUUCAGAGAUACACCGCAGCAGGAAGAGGGGAAAAAAGGGAGAGGAGGGGGGAAAACGUAGGGAAGACAAAGGGAAGAAAAGGGAAGACUUUCCCGACGCAGCCGUGUGUCCUCUGCCUGUCCGUGUAUCUGCUUACUUGUCCGUCUUCCUCCGAAGGCAAGAACCGCCUCAAUCUUGGCGACGUCUCCUGUAUAUCUGUGACGAAGGCGCGGCAACGAUGACUUGAACCUCACAACAUCCCAGCUAGUAGGGACAGGGAAGCACAUGCUGGAGGUUGUGAAUAUCUCUACUGCUAUAAGAAGCAACGACUGCGUCCAUUCGUAGAAAAUUGUCGUUGGGGAUAGUUGCUACAGUUGCACAGUGAACUGGAUGCAGCCUGGACUGAAGUCACCAGACAAGCGGGCGAUGGCAUCGCCGCGAUUACUAGUGUCUCGCCCUUGCGUAAGGUUACAUACUAGCCUUCUCGGGCCGCGUUGGACAAGCUGGGUGUCGAUAAGCGUUGGACGUCAAGCAGAGCAUAUAGCUGUCAGUAAAGUUGUAUCGCUUACUUCACAUGAUACGCCAUGCAGCUUUGGACAUGCACAGGUUAUUGUGGCUACGAGUCCCAGCCUUGGCCCGGUACCCUUAACCCUAACGAUGAAUUCGUGCACUUGUGAACAUCUUUCCAAGAUUGGUUGCCGUUACACACGCAUCAAAAGGGUAUGUGCAGUUUGGGGUGUCAAGGGAAAUCCCAAGCGGGUUGUUGUCGUGCAGAGUCUCUGCUGUCGUGAUUUCGCGCCAAAGCAGGUUCCUUUCCUGUGCCCACCUGGGCAGCGAAAAACCUUGUACAAAUUACUGUAUGUACAUGAUUGCAUCUCACUACGCAAGUUGAUCAUCGUUCCUUACACUGUUUGUUGUUCUAGUGCAUCCCUCGUGUAACUUCCGUUUGUAAGACUAAUAACUGCACAUGAGUUAAACACUAUUCCUCGUUGGUACCCUUUUAGCUAUUGAGAAAUGGCAGCAGAAAGAAAGCUGAAGGCGGAGAUAGACCGCACUCUGAAGAAGGUGCAAGAAGGACAGGAGAUAUUUGACGAUAUAUGGAACCAGGCAAGCAGGGAGGCUAAUAUGUUAUCGUCAGCAGGCGGCCCCCGGACGAGGUCUAACGGCAGCUUGCCAUGCCGCAGUACUCGGCUCACAAGCAAGCGCACGACCAAGAAAACCAGAAUCAGCGGGAGAAGCUUGAAGGAGAGCUUAAGAAGGAGAUUAAGAAGCUGCAGCGGUUGCGAGAGCAGAUAAAGGGAUGGUGCGUCAGGGUGGGGAUCGCUGGACGCAGCAAGCUAAGCGUCGCUCAUGCGUCGACUGCUUUGGCUAUUAUAGGAUCGCUGGAGCGGAUAUCAAGGACAAGCAGCCGUUGAUCGAUGCACGCAAGUCUAUAGAGCGCGAUAUGGAGCGUUUCAAGGCUUGCGAAAUGGAGGCCAAAGCGAAGGGCAGCGCAGCAGGGGGAGCCGACCGUGAUUCUACGCAGCGCGCAAAGGACGAGGCGCGGGACUGGAUUAAGACGGUCGUGGAUCAGCUUACUGAGAAGGUAGGCGUGAGCGGAUGCGGUGUAUGUCGGGUUUCAUGGCUUCGGCCAUGAGGCCGCAGCAUACGGGAGGGAAAGCAAAAGAAAGGGCGAUGGAAGACGGGCUGCUCUGCAAGACAGCAGAGCCCCCGUGCUCACGGCGGCACGAACUGGCGUGGAGGCCCUAAUCCUAAUCUUAAGCCCCUAAUCUUGCUUCCUCAACGCGCAUGUGCUGGCAAUGCCUGUCAUUUGCAUAGGCCCAGAAGCCACCCACCCUGUAACAAUUAAUACGUCUACUCCCGUGUUGCGUGGACCAGCAGAUGUGCUCCUCCUCCUCCUCCACAUGACCACCUCUCUCACCACACGCAUCCCAUGAAAUAGGCACCGCUUGCAGUUUUUGCUCUUGUAAUGCUUCCAAAUGUAGUUUUCCUUACCGCACCGGGUUUAUUGCCAUGUGGGUCUCUCGCCGCUCUCCCCCUUUUCCCUUGGUUGUGUUUUUUGCUCUUUACAUACGAUUGAUUUUCCUACCUGUUUCAUUCUUGCCUCAUUCUUUUCCCGCCCGUCUCCCGCCCGUCUUUGGGCUCUGCAGGUGGAGUCCAUGGAAGCGGAAAUGGAGGAGCUGCAGGUGGGCCUGUUGGGGGGGGCUGGUUUUCAGGGGAUUGUUUGCCUCGCGCUGCGCCGCGGUUUUGGAGCAUGUUGCGCCGCCUCAAGGGAGAAACACGCACACGUUCUCUCUUAAGACCGGGUUUUGCAGCAUAAGCAUAUCGGGUUUUUUGAUGCACCCACCCUCUACUGCCCCACCCUCUACUGCCACGUAUUUCCCCACUACUACCGACUCCAGUAGCCUGGUACUUUGGACAUGUUCAGUUGACUCGCGUGACUUAUCUUGCUUUUCUGAAUAUGAUCCCCUGCCCCUGCCCCUUCUCUCUCCGCCCUCCCCUUCCCUCUCUCUCCCCCCGCCCCUUACCCCCGUCUUCUCCCCCCUCCCCUUACCCUCCCAAGGUGACCGUUAAGAAGCGUCAGAAACCCCCCGUCCGGUUGACCUCCCUGGAGGAGACAGUGGGCCGCCACAAGGACCACAUCGACCGAUUGGAGAAGGUGCUGCGGUGUAUCGACAAUGAGACCAUCCAACCGGAUGAGCUGUCGGAUCUGAAGGAGGAGAUGGACCUCUACCUGGUGAGAGUGUGUGUGUAUGUGCGUGUGUAUGUGCGUGUCUCGACGUGAGCUGAGGUGAGAAGGAAGGAUUGGGGGUUGGAAAGAGACAAGUUUAGUGGAGAGGCAGGGGGCUGCUGGGUGGGUCGGGGGUAAGACGAACCAUUGGGAAUGAAGCAACGGGUGGGUGGGGGAGCUGGCUGUUCGUGGGGAGGUGUGGUGUGGUGUGGACGAUGGGGGGGAUCGGAGGAUUUUGGCGGGCGGAAGGGGAGAAAUAUGGGGAGCGAUAUGUUGGCCGUCAUCAUGAUGGUUUUGGAUGGAUUGAAAUACGGGCUGUGUUGAGCUGCUUCAACAGCUGAGCCUGGUUAGAUUACAAGUUACAAAUUCUUCGCGCACCCAUACACACACACACACACAUACGUGCGGGGGGUGUCCGUAAAGAAAAGCCGGGGGCCCCCCAUGGGCGGUUACGGGUGGGGGGAAGUGAGGGCAAGUUGGGAGAGGAGGGGAAUCAGGUGCAAAGGCGAAAAGGAUCAACUGCCAAAUGGCGCCCUAACUACCAAAACAGCUGAAGGAGUUCGAAGCUCUUUGAGGUUACUGUCCGGUGGUUCCGGAGCGGCUCAUGCCCUCUUGACGGGGAGGGGGUUUGAGGGCAGAGGAUGCGAUCGAAGAAGCAUGGGCUCCGAGUUGUGGUGUGUCGGAACUUGAAGCAGCUCACAACGGAUGAUACGGUGUGGGGAGCAGGAGUCCGCUGCGGCCUGGGGAGGAGGGAAACGGGAGGGGAAGGGGGUUGGGUGGGUGCGGAGGCCACAGGGGACGAGGCCCGUGGGUUGGGGGAAGGGAGGCCAGGGAGGACAUCGGACUGGAGCCGCCACCGGCAGCAGCCGCACGGCCACGCCAUCAGGGUAGAGCGGGAGGAGGGGGCCCCGCCCGGCUACUAUUCCGGGUUUUAGGGUUUUUAGGGUUUUUAGGCUAGCUAGCUAGACCAAGAGGAAUGGAAAGGCGGUCGUGGAAAGGGGGAAAGCGGAUUUCCCCCAUGAUGAGCAACAUGCUCUAGAGUUGGUACGCGUGGUAGGGAGUGAUGAGAAGGGGGCGGCGGUUUCGGAGGGAGGGAGAGCUGCUAAUUAAUUUAGCCUAACGCCUGACGUGUCUGGCGUGGAGCGCGGGCUCCUGGAGGAGGAGGAGGAGGAAAGGCACUGAGGAGGUUGUGUGUAUGUGUGUGGGGGGGGGGCUGAGAGACUGGGUAUGAACCCAGCAGUAAACUGUGAUGCCUAUUCGGUUGGCACAUAUUGGAGAGUUGCCCGGGGAAGGUGACAUUGUCGCUGGGUAUUUGCAUUUGGACACUUGAGAAUGUCGUUGGAGACCGCGUUAACAACCUUUCUACGCGCUGUGGUCAUUACGCGCGCAUCUGUCUGCCACACUUUGCUUCUGGUGAUGAUUUUCUGGUGGUGCACAGGUGGCAAAGCAAAAGUGAUGAUAAGUGAUGUCGCUGGUUGCGAGGUUUCGUUUUUGUUUCCGUAGCACAUGGCAACGAAAGCCGCGCUCUAUGUGGGAGAGGUGUGGGUAACACCACCGCCCCCGGUCCCCCGGCCCCAGCUAGACAGGGUAACGUCCCCACAUCCUUGCCUAUAAUGUCCCCCGGACGGGAACCCUGGACGGCGCGGCAGUAGUUCUUUCCUUGACGCAACGUUUUAGUUCCCCUCCAACUUCAAACCCCGCGCACCCGCACCCGCAUCCGCACCCGCACCCGCAGCACUCACAACAUCCCAAACUGGAAUUUUGUGCGCACAGAACACCGAGGACGGCGAGGACAUGGGGAUGGACCUAUCCAACGUGGACGACAUGUACGGCAUGUUCCAGGUACGGCAGUACGACAAUGGUACCGCGCUUCGGGGUAUAUUGCCUUCUUCUGGGUGAGGAAGCGGUUGGGUGCCGCCGCCGCCGCCGCCACCGCCGCCGCCACUGCUGCGGUCGCCACUGUGAGUGACUGUGGUCGCCGCCGCCACUGUGACCUUUUCUGCGCUUCUUCGAAUCCUCUUCGGAUCCUCUGUCUACCAUUUCACCUUGGUUUCCUAGGGGCCUUGGAGCCUUAGGUAGCUCGUUUUGGGGGUGAUGGUGGGGUCGGCUUUGCCCAACUCACUCACACAUACAUACACACGCACACAGGCACAUACAUACACACGCACACGCACAUACACAGGGUUCGCGGAGCGGGGCAUUCCCCGAUGCGUAUGGGGGGGGGCGGGGGUGGGGGUGGGGGGGGCCCGAUCACCCUAUCCUAGCAGUAUAGAGGUGGAGGAGCGAGUGUACAACGCGCGAAACCCUGGUGGCGCUGGGCGCAGCAGAGGGAGAGGUCGGGGGGGGGGGAGGGGAGUGGCAGGGGGGGGAGGCGUCUUUGGCUCUUUGUUCCUUCAGGGGGUGGGAGUGUCGACGGGAGGAAAUGUAGUUGCUGCUGGUUUUGAGGGGAGGGGAGGGGGGGAAGGUGAAGUGGGUUGGGGAAAUACGGGUUUUGCCGCCCCCGACAUAUGUAGAGGCGAGGGUGGCCGUUAUUCUUUUUUUUUUAUUUUCGGUGUGCAGCGAGCCCCGCCCUUUUGCGAACCCGGCGAGUGAGUUUGCUGCUGCUGUGCGCAUAUGUGCCAGAGAGGGCACCUGUGCCGCCCGCAGCUUGGGCGGGAGGGGUGUAGCUACUGGACUUGGAGUCCCUAGCCAGAGUGACUUUCCUAACCUGGUAGUGCUUUCCAGCGAUGCGCUUUCGGCGUUGUAGGGGAAGGUUUUGGGCUUUAGCUUGACUGAGAGAGCCAACCGUGGCUCGGGCGUUUGGGUUUUCAGGGUUUUCACAUCAGGGUCAUAGCGCCAUCAGGAUGUUUAGCGCCCGCCCGCCCGCCCGUAAGGAUACGUCAGGGAGGACAGCUUCCUGAGAGCAUCUUUCGAUGCUGGUUGCUGUACGGCGUUCUCCAGUCGCAGCGUUGGAGGCUGUACGGCGUUUUCCUUUUAUUCCCUCCGUAGACCCACCGCUGGGGAAAUACCCGUACCCGUACAAGGUAUCCGGCGGCUCAGACGCUGUGUCGGGCAGGUGUAUUGCUUUUUGUGUGUAUUUCCCCUCCCUCCCACCACCCAUUCGCUCGUGGUUUGUCAUCCUCCCACCACCCUUCCAAACACACGCACACAUACACACGCACACAUUUGCACACAGGACCGUUUGGAUGCAGUGGACAAUGCGGCCCCGGCGGCGCCCCUACACAGCGUCAAGCACGGCAAGGGCGGCAGGGAGAAGGAGGCGGAGGAGGCGAGGGAGAAGGAACGGGAACGGGAGCGGGCUGCGGCGGCAGCUGCUAAGGCGCAACUCAUAGCGCAGGCAGGUGGCCUCUUUUUUUUCCGCAUGUGUGUGUAUAUCGGUCUGUAUGUUUUUGCUAGGUUUUAAUGCUAUUUGUCUGUCUGGGAGACGUCGGGACGUCUCAUGCCCGUCAUAGAUGGUAUGUACGCGUGGUGUGGUGGUGUGUACGACAGGGGAAUACGAAUUUAAAGCUUCACGACGAGGACGAAGUACGGAAGCCCCUCGCCAACGCCAGCAGCGUCGGAGCGGGGCCUGGCAAUGGCGUCAGCGUCAGCGGUGGCAGCGUCGGUGCCGCCGCCGGCGGCAAGCCCUCGACACCUGUGGCGGCGCCGCCAGCGACCACGACGGCAGCGGCGGGGCCUGGUCUUCCUCUUGCCGUACCGCCGCUGGCGGCGCCGCAGCCGUCAGUGGGGCCGUCGGGAUCAAGGCAGACGGCGCCGUCGACGCCAGCAAAGGAACCCGACUCUGGUGGGUCUAGAUGCAACAACAAUGAUCAUCACCAUCACCUUCACCAUCACCAUCACCAUCAUCAUAAGCGUGUACUCGUUGUAUGAGUGAGAGGCAAAGGUUUUUUUUGUGGAGCGACACGACCUGCGUGGCUGGGUGAGGGGAUGGGAGGCGGGAGUCAUGCAAAAGUGUAAAAAAUAUUGUUUUUUAUAUUUAAAUUUACAUAUAUAUAAGGAAUAUAUAUAUAUAUUUUUUUUAUAAUUAUGUUUGUUUAUAUACCAGCUUUUUGUAUACAUAAAUAUAUACAUAUAUGUGUAUAUAAUAAAAAGCUGGCGAUACCCGACGGCUGUUUAAGGAACCAGCUGUUGCCCUAUUGUGUAGAUGUGCGCGAGGCAUGUGCAAAGAAAAUAUGUGCGGUCUCGGGUGACUGGUGGCUUGUGUUAGGACGGAAAGCCGCCACUCCCUUACCCCGUCACCACCUGUUUUGCACUUAUGUGGCUGUGAGGGUGUGGAUGUGGGUGUGUAUGCGGGCGUGUGUUGCACCUUUUGGAUUGCGUUCCACUUCAAGGUGUAACGGGUUGCAAAUUACCCUUUCUGCUUGUCCGCUCUCCACCUCCCCCCUCCCCACACACUCUUGUUCGUGGUUCGUCUUCUCUCCCACCCCACACCCCACACACACAAUCCCGCCAGGUACGGCCACGCCGCGAACAGCCACCAUGGCGCCAUCAACAGCAUCCCCGGGGUUGUCCUCUUCAGAAGCAGCCUCGCCGAUGCCGCCUGGCGGCGGCGCCGUCGGGACCCCCCACGCCGCUGGGCCCGUCUUGGGCCCUAUGUCCUUGGGCGCCCACGGGCAGCCGCCGCCGCCGCCGCCGCCGCCUCCCCCGCCUGGGAUGGCCCUGGCGGGAGGGGGGCCGGCGAGGACGCCGACGUCAGGGGGUCCGACGGCAAACGGCGGUGGCGGCGGCGCCGGUGGCAUGGAUGGCGGCGGCGGGGUGCCGCGUUGGCUGGCGGCGGCGGCGUCCGGGGGCCCUGCGGGGGGAUCCCAGGGCUCGGAGGUGUGUAUAUGUGUGGAGACGUGUGGAGACGUGUGGAGAUGAAGAUUUAUGAGGGGGGUUUCAAACGGGGCAGGAAGAAGGAGAGGAACAGAUCUGUUUUUUUAAGGGGGUUGCGGAAAGGAGUAACCAAGCCAGCAGCGAUUUUAUUUCCUGGUUGUGUGUGUGUGUGUGGGAUGUGUGUAUAUAGGGAAAGGGGUUUAUAGCUUCACCCGUGGCCGCUACUAGCCUGCUGGCAGUCCCUAGCUGCCUCCCCCCCGCGGUGUACUGGGAGCACCAACCUCAUCCUUCUCAUCACCCACGCGCGCGUGUGUGUGUGUGUGUACGUUUCCGACUUGAGUGUUUUCCCUUUGAGUGUCAGCACCCCCUCCCCAUCAUGACACAUGACACAUGGCAGCAUUCAGAGGAAUCUGUCCCCGGGUCAGCGGCCGCGACUACUCCACCCCCACCCACCCCUCUCGCCCUGUCGGUUCACAGGCCCCGCACUCCAUCCGGGUCGGUACAUCACCCUUCGUCACCCUUCAUCACCGUCCAUCAUCAUGUCUGUGCACACACACAUAUAUCAUCCAUGCGCCCUCUUAACAACGUUCAAGGGAUGCCUCUCCCGCAUCGACAUUGUCGGGAUCGAUCCUGGGACUUCCAGGGAGACAAUGCCGCGCCCUACACAUGUCUGUUGAUGCGUAUCUUUUCACCUGGCGAACCCCGACUUCGACUCCGAUUCUAUGCAGGACUUGUCAUCUACGCAGAACGGAGCGGGGCCGGGGCCACGGCAGGGUCCAGCGUCUGCAUCAUCAGCGGCGGCGGCUGCGGCGACCGCCGGCGGUGGUGGCGGCGGCGGCGGCUUUGCCGCCACCGGGCCGGGGACCGCAGGAACGCCGUCGGGUACUGCUGACGGCGGCGGCGGCGGCGGGCCGUUGGCGUCGUCCGCCGCCGCGGCGGCGGCGGGUCGUCAGCCCACGGACCGAGGGCCCGCUGCCGGUGGGUGGAGAUUGCAAUUUUUUGCUGUCGUACUGAAAGAGAGCUUAGUUUUAGUUUGGUACCUUGCGGUCACCAGAGGGAUGUGGGAGGGGGGGAAAGGGAAGUAUGGGAUUUGCGGGAGGGGGUGAGAGGGCUGUACGAUUUCACGGGGGGGAGGGCUAUGGGAGGGGAUUGCGUAGAGGGAUGGGCGUCCUGACAUGAUCUUUUUUGCGGCCUGUCCUUUUGACCUGUUUUUGCAUGCUCUGAUCAAUGAUAAACUGCAAGUUGAAAAUGUUUUAAUUGUCUACCAGCUGAACAUCUAAUAACUUUAAUAACAUUUAAUAACUUUCCCCAUGCACAUGUCCCACAUUCACAUGUCCCACAUUCUCUCGCUAGGUCCCAGCGGGCCCAGUGGCAUGACGGACGCACUCACGGCGCGAAUGGCAGGCGUGGUACUGGGGGGAAGUGGAGCCGCCAACGCCAACGUCAACGCGUCGUCGGCCGGAGCCGGCCCUGGCUCACGAGCCAGCAGUGCCGGCGGGAUGGGCUUGUCGCCGCAGUCCGCGGCCGCUGCCGCCGCCGCCAGCAGCGCAGGCAGCGCCGGCGGCGGCGGCGGGUUGUUGCUUCCCGGGGAUCUUCCCCCGGUAGUUCCCGCGUAUUCGGUGUCCGCUGCGAAACAGAUCCUGGAGGCUUGUUACGCGUAAGUCAAGUCCCGUGUGUAAGGAUGUACGGCUGGCUGUAGUACCGUACGGGUGGCGGUUCUGGCGGGUUGCCUAGCCGGCCAGCUGGAAUGGUUGGUUGGUUGAUUGGCGGGCGGGCUGUGUGUGUAUAUGUGUGUAUAUGUGUGUGUGUGUGUGUUUUACUAUCUGACUCUUUUUUCUGCUGUGUGAGACUGCUGAACUUUUUAAAAAGCUCUUACCGCGCUGAUUUUGGGCGUCAAAGACUUUUGGGCGUCAAGACGCUUAUUAAGUGUGCCUUACUGUUAGAUUUUCGCGUGCCGCAUAGUCAUCAUGUUCCCCCUGCCCCGUGUUUCCGUGUUCCGUGUACCCGGGCAGACGCGGGGUGAUACCACACCUAUCCGACACGGAAUGGAAACACACACGGCCACGGCACCCCGUUGCCGUACCCGCGUCGUACCCCAAGGUACGUAGGGUACAUGGGCAGACCCAGCCUCUGUCCCGCGCGGAAAAGUAAGGGGGGAAAGCCGUACUCCUCCUCCUCCUCCUCCUGCAUAUGCCGUAUUGUGCACACACGCAUACAUACAUACAUAUGCACGCACGUUGAGCCACCGACCCAAGAGCUGUCUUUGGGAUUCCUUUCACACGAAUAUGCAGGCGUGCACACACACGCACACACGCACACACACACGCACACACACACGCACACACACAUUUCUGAGCCGCGUCUGCAAAACCCCCCCGGGACACGCCCCCCGAUUCCUCUUCUCCCCCCCGCUUACAACUAGGACCCCGUCGGGAAGACACACGCACGCCACGUAAUGCUGCAACACACACGUACACACGUAUAUACACAAUACACACAACAUACAUACACACAGAACAUAUUCCCCGCGCUCUCUCCUCCUCACUCGCUCCACCUCACUGUUCCCCACAUUCCGCCUUGCCUCAUACUGUAUGCAUGUAAAUCCCUCCUCACCACUGCCAUUACCACCACCAUUACACCAUCAUAAUCACCACUACCACCACCACCACCAUCAACAACAACACGAACAACAAUGCCAACACCAAUGCCAACACCACCACCAACACCACCUACACCCGCAGACGGCGCCCGAGGUGGUUGACAACCCGGCGCUCUUCAGGAAAAUGGACCCCGAGUGCCUGUUCUUCGCCUUCUACUUCCAGCCCAAUACAUACCAGCAGGUCAGUAUGGUCAGCGCACCCCGCUAUCCGUCCAUCCGCGUUUUGUGCGUGUCACAACAUGUAUGGCCGUUUGCCUGUCUGUCUGUCUGUUUGUCCAUAUGUGCUGUAGAUACAUGUUGAUCCUGUCGCCCAUGUGUGAGGCUGUAUGUGCGACCUCUGGUGUAUUUCACACCUUGAGUGCGCGGUUUUAACGCAUAGUUGUAAGGUUGAGGAAGUCUAAGUGGCGCACGAAGCCAAAACAUUUUCAACCCUUCCCCCCACCACACACACACACACGCACACGCACACACACCUUUCUCAUCAACAUUGGCCACAUAGGGAUUUUUCCCUUCCAAUUCCAUUUGGCCUGAAGGAGAUGUCGGCUCGGUUCCACCCCUGCACAAUGUAUCCGUCUUAGCUUCCUAAGAAGUCACCGGGUCAUCCGUCCUUCGGCUCGUCUAGAGUUACACAGCUUGGUCAGGUCUCAGAGUCUAUGAGAGUAGCGACCUCCCGCUCUUAACCUCGCCCCAUGUAGCCCAUAACAUUCAGGGCCGCUUGGCGGUCCAUCCUGAUCUCUACCCCUUCCCCUGUUUUUUCCUCCUCCACGCACCUGCUGUGUUCCCUCGAUCCCUAGCCCCCCGCCUCCCUCACACCGCCCCCCGCAUACCACCCCCCUCAAUGAGUUUCCCCUCUCGACCCCUCCUCCCUCCUUCCGUGCUCAACCCCUGUUGUAUGUAACUCCCCGGGAGUGCCCUCCUCAACCGCCCUACCCCCGCCCUCCUCGACCCUUUCGGUCAGUUCUACGUCUGGUACACUCUUGCCCUGGCAGCAGCUUCACUCGUUUGUGGUUCGUCUUUCCCUCCUCAACCCCUCCUCAACCCCUCCUCAACCCCUCGUUAACCCCUCCUCAACCCCUCCGCACCCAACUCAACAACUCAACCAGUUUCUGGCGGCACACGAGCUCAAGCGGCAGUCCUGGCGCUUCCACCGCCACCACAACGCCUGGUUCCAAAGAUUCACGGAGCCAGCCGUGACUUCGGAGGAGUACGAGCAGGGGGCCUACGUGUACUUUGACUACAAUAUUGUGCACGAUGACAUGCAGGUAAAAACGUGAAUAGGAGCCGCAGACGUUGCGUUUCCUGGACCCACCCCACCUCGACCCAACCCCUUCACCCCCUUUCCGUCCCCCUGGGCCAAACCCUUAGCCAAGCCCCUCGCUUUUACCACUUGUUGGUUACCCUGCUGCUGGACAUAAUUUCGCCUAAAAGAUACCCUGGCUCCUCUAUACAUGGGCAUGGGCAAGCUGAACCACAUCUGUGGAUCCGCAACCUGCAACUUGAACCCCUUUGACCACUUCUUUUCCUUUUCCUUUCUCUUAUUCCUGGUAUCAGUACUGCAUGCUCGUUUUCCACCCCUCCUCACCCCGCACACAUUCCCUCCCUCACCCCCGCUUUCUCACUCCUCAGCCCACCACUCCCUUCCCCAUCUUUUCUUUUCUUACCCCCCCGGCCCCCCCCCCGCCCGCCCCCGCUCGCUCGCCGGCCACUACACUCUACUACUCCCAGACCGGUUGGUGCUAUCGGCGCAAAGAGAACUUCACGUUUCGGUACGACGCUCUGGAGGACGAGUUGCGUGUUGCCAACCUGACGCCGCAGCAGACGGUUGCGAUGGCGAUGGCGCAGGUGCAGGGGCUGUGAACGAUGCCCUCCCUCCCGCUCAAGGUGCACAUCUCUGCUGGGUUUCCACUUACAGGGCCCGCGACCAAGUUCGAAAGCGAAAGCAUCUUUCCAAAAUUUCAUGAAAUAAAAAAGGGGAAAAGGAGACGUUGAUCUCCGCCUCUGCCUACGGUGCCGCAUCCGCUGCCGUACGUCGCGUCCGCCUGCCCGACUCGAUAAAAGAGCCGAGCUCGACUCAGGCUCACAGCUCUUUCGACUUAUUCUUGUAAGAGAGAGCCGCUCGUCCCGUCCCACAGUCGGUCAUCACAUGUGAUGGAGAAGAAAAAUGCCUCCAUUUAACCUCCGUACGAUUUCCGUACAACCUCUCCGCCCUGUAGGUGGCCCGGUGUAUGGACCCCGGGCUAAAGCCCAACCCCGGCCUUGUGGCUGGGGCCUGUAGUAGCUCGUACAUAGUACGGCAUACAUGUCAUCUACAAAUACGCGCGCGCUAAGGCGCUCCGCCAACAUCUUGAGAGGCCAUUUCAUCAGCGGCUAGCAGCUAUUAUAGGCCCCCCGUUUGUCCGUGGCCUAGCUUUUGUCUCCGUACCUCCCUACCAAACGAAGUCCGCACGGCGCACGUAGACACACACAUACAGUUUUUUUGGUUUGCUAUCCGUAGGGGAAACCUAAGAUUACUUCGCUGUAUAUAGUUCAAGACCACAACUUGUCGCCUUCCGCAACUACAGCUACAUCGACGCUUUAUUCCCUAUUGGCUCUGGCAUCACUUGGUGUCACUCAGUCAAUCAGCAUCUACACCACGAUGAUUUCCCCAGCAACACGAAUGCACAAUCACUGGACUAAUUGUUCAAUGUCGCGGGAUUAUGGGCUGGUUCGAUAAAUUGAAUCCUGUGCCUUUAUUUCUUGUUGUUUCCUCCUCGCGACUCAGAUCAUUAGGACAAAUUAGGACAAAUCGACGCACACCUGGUUCUGUUCAGGACUCGUGUCCUACUCGUCGUACUUGGAGUAACAUUUGAAAAACAGUUGGGGGGUUCGGAGUGCUGUCUCCCUUAUGGAGGAUCCUGGCUUGCCUAUCGCCUCGUGAUAACCAACACAAAGGUCAAAUCUGUACUCGGCUCCGGGCUUAAUGGAUGUUGCUGCAGAUCUAAGACGCUUACUUUAGAUGGUUUGGCGCUUCCCGGAAAGUGUCUCAGCAGGACUCAGAUCCACGCGCGUGCAAACCAGGUAAAUGGGAGGGCGACAAUAUGGGGAUGUUUCUCUUCAAUUUCUUUCUCCAAAUUUCUCUCCGUGUGUGGUUGUUAAAGCGGGCUCCAGACUCGUGAAGAGUAGAGCCAGCGGGCCAGCUGGCCGUGUAUUGCACUCUCAGUGGUCCGGAGACGGAAUCCGAUAAGGGAGGCGCACCACAGGCGAUAGGUCUAGGGAUGCGUUAUUAAAUGGGGCACGAGGAACAUGAUAGUGAUGUAUGUGGGCUUGCGUCCUUUGGUCGUUUGACGGUAGCUUGCGCGACGACGUGCGAGCAACAGGUCGGAUCCAAAAGGUGUAAGAAUGUUAGCGGUCCUGCCAAAUAUUUGGCGUCAUCAGGAGCAGCAUAGCUCGCAGCCUAUCAAAUAAAGACGCGUGGCGGAAGUGGGCAGAGGACAGCGGAAGGGCGACGAAAAGGUUUGAUGACAACCUUUUUGUUCCCCUUUUGUUCCCCAACAAACGAAAUCCCACUGUUGUCCAACCCUAUCCAGCAGAGUGUUAAUGUUCCAAUAUAACGGGUAUCUGAUUGCCUUUUGUAAGUGUUGGAAAUGACCGACACUCAUAUACCAGUAAAUGGUAGCCACAGUAAUAGGACCCAGCGGGGGUCCGGCGCUUUGCUGGUUUUAACAGUAAGGACUGUAGCUUAUCCCUUUUUGACCGUUUCGCUAUCCGUUUCGCGCGAGAACCCCGCCCAGCCGCUCCGCUCAAUCGCGCAAAAAAACUUUAUAAAACCACACGUGCUUUAGCUUAGGCAAAGGCACGGCGUCCAGGUCUUCGCCGUUUCCUAGUCUUGCCUCAAUAAUUUGGGAAGCUUAAUCCGCCCAGAUCCGCCUAGGUCACCCAAUACCAUGCCGCCAAAAGACAGGCUAAAAAUAACGAAUUUCUUAACCUAAGCCACGUAAAAUGCAUUGAGUCACCAUAUUCAGGGCCUUGCCCGCUCUUGCGGAAUCCACACCUUUAUUAUAUCCCAGCCUUUCACACGUUCUUUGUGUCAUCGUUACCUGACACAAACAUAUUCGAGGAAUCUGAGCAAGACAUUGCAAGUGCAUGUAACAGCACAGCCUACGUUGCAAGGCCUUCCAUUGCUGCAGUAACGUGCCACUCUCGUAAUCCUUUCUGGUCCUUCUUGCUUAAGGAUGCAUGGCAACUAAGGCCUGCAAAUCCUAAGGCUGCCAGCACCUUGAAGCUCAUAAAUGCGCAUAUGUUGGGGAUAAUGUACGGUGCUACCGACGGCCGACGACUGACCGUGCCGUGCCGUCGUGUCUUAGUACGGCAUCAGAUCAUGGCUGCGAGUAGCUUCUGUAGUUCUGAGGGCUAAGGAUUUUUUUCUUCUUUCAAUGCUAAUGAAUGCAUAAUAUAUGCAUCAUAACUCUGUGUCUUACUUUGUCUGACAGGUUACGAGCCCCGAUUGCGCUGCAGAUGCGCACUUAGGUAAUUAUUAGAGAUUCCGAUAUCGAAUUCGACUUUGGCUAUUGACCUGUGAUAUAACAGUGAUGGCGUUGUCAGACAGGCCCACUAUUUGAGAAGCAUACCGUCCGCGACACCUGGCCCAGACGAGACGCCGCCCUGGAGCGAUGCUAACCGCUUCCUUGCCAGCGCGCUGCUCGCAAUUCCAACACAACGGUCCUUAUUGACAUGACAAACUCGAUUUUGUUCGGGUCGAGGUUCUUCGCGUUUGUCAACCCUACCACUUUGUUGGUGUUUGAGAGAUAAAGACUGUUGUGUUGGAAUUGCGAGCAGCGCGCUGGCAAGGAAGCGGUUAGCUCGCUCCAGGGCGGCGUCUCGUCUGGGCCAGGUGUCCGCGCGGGCGUACAUUGAGAACUUCGCAAUGUUGCUCCAGAGGGCGUAUUCAAGAGUGUUGUAAGACACAACCACAAAGUGGUGGUAUCGAAAAACACCGAUUGAGAUAAGUGCUUUGAUGAAAUAGCCGUUGUAGAAUCCACGCACUUGGGCUUCGCGCCGGUAAACCCCCCUGUACGACUGGGCGACGCGACCUUCAGAUGACCGUAAUUCAAACAGGAAUUAGUUUCGAGUCUGCUGACCAGACGAAUCAUGGACGCAUGUCCCAGCUUUACUCAGGUAAAGCCCCCGUCCAUACGCAGGUAUGGACUUCCGCAGCAGUGCGGCAUUAAGAUGGCGAUCUCGGCCAACAGUAGUCGCAAGCCGCCGGUUAAUAAUAGAAUUAGGCAGUCCUGUAAACAUAGACAGUACAUGCUGACAUGCUUAAGUUAAUUGUAGCAAUAGUUGAGAAGACCUAACAGAUCGGGCCUCCAAAAGAAAGAGCCGCGAGCUUAACAGAAUUGCCUACAGGAUACAACAAAGCGCAAUUAACUCGGCCCCCACUGCACCCUCACAGCAAAUCCGCAAGACGUUCUGCACCUCCUCUCCGCUAACAAAUAAGAGGAAAUAAGUUGUUGCCUGGGCUGGGAGAGCGCCCCGGUUGGCGUGAGUGAGGGAGUGAGGCGCGCGCGGAGGAACAGACGGACGUAGAGCCGCGCGCCCGCCCCUGCGCUGUGUCUCGGCCCGGUCAGGGCCCCCGGUGCUCGAGCCGCCCACAGUAUAACACCCCAUCAACUUCCGUUGGAACCAUUGUGUGGAGGGCUUAGAGAAAUAAAUUGUUUCAACGCGCCGCCCUCAACAAAGUGAACUGGAGGAUGAGAUAUCCCUGUGGCCGAUUACCAACGCAACAAUCUACAAGCUCCGCAUGAAUGCGACGGGCCCCCCUCCGUAAAAGCUGGAGGCCCAUGGACUAUCUUGCCCUACUCGCCUGCGCUGCGCGCGCUGUGCUCGGUCUCCCAGGCCUUCGACUGCUAACAAUAUUCCUAACCACACCCUAACCACACCCAUAGACAGCCAUAAAAAUAUAAAUACGAGUUCCCCGGACCGACUAGCGACCUCUACUUCUUCAGUCUUGCGCUAUCCCUUCUGAGAUAAAUCCGCUAGGUUUUGCGAGCAACCUAUUUGUAUACCUUUCCAAGAAUUAUUUGUAUAUUAGACUAGACAGAUUGUGCUUCGUUCGCUACGUAUGCAUGUCAGCCGGCAUGUCAGCCGGCAUGUCAGCCGGCAUGUCAGCCGGCAUGUCAGCCGGCAUGUCAGCCGGCAUGUUAGCCAGCACGUCUGGCGAGGAUGUUGGAACGUAGUAUGUGGGCUCACCGAAACUCAGUUACCCCCUUUGGACGCUAGUCUGGGCUGAUGUGCGGUGUUUCCUUUCCUCCGUGGCUUUUAGGCGUUGUAGUAUUGCCCUUGGGCCUUCGGCUCGUAUGGAUAGUUUUACAGGUAUGGGGUCACGCACCCCCCAACCAUGUAACACACACACACACACACACACACACACGCAUGUCAAUGUCCCCAUUUCCUUGGGAUGAAAAGAAGAGCAGUGUGCAACAGGGUUACAGCGGAUAUGCGGAUAUGCUUGCUCUGCAUCACACCGAAAACCCCUGGACGACCAACGUCACAUCGCUGACCCUGAUCUGCUGCCCUCGGCUCGUAUUGGGCGGUUUGCAGGUACGGAGAACGCACCCCACGACCAUGUACAACAUACACACACAUAUACACACACAUAUACACACACACACACACACACACACACACACACACACACACACACACACACACACACACACACACACACACACACACACACACACACACACACACACACACAGCUGACCCCGAUCAGCUGCUGCACUACCAAAUCUAACGAAUGACCGAUAGCGGCAAGCCUGAGCGCUUCUAAGUACUCUAUUCCGACAGUACUUGUUUUGUUAGGUUGUGGUUAGGUAAAAGUUAGGCUUCUUACAGGGGUCGGUUUUCUGUUGAACCCCCACUCGCCGGUAUCUCGCAGCCUGACGAAAUUAAAAGCUUAAUAAAUCGAUUCUAAAUCAUAAAGGAGAUCCCUAACUAAAUGGUGAUUAAUUUAGGUAAGCGGUAAAAAGAUAUCUAUCUUGUUGCCUUGUGCUUAAUAGUACGUUAGCUCUAAAAGGCUGAUGCGCGAGAAGUCUCUAGCGCAUAUACAUUUGCACAUAUACAUAAUUAAAUUCGAUAAUAAUCUAUACAAUGCUGAGAUCUUUAACCAGGAAGGUAGAAAGGGCUGCAGAGCGAAAGCACGCGCCAAUCAUACGCCUGAUUUGUCCCAGAUGGCAUAGCCAGCACCAAUUAACACAUAAAAAUAAAGCCACUACAUUAACCCAUCCAUGUAUCGUCACAAGGUUUGCGCCAUUACUGAGACCAGACGGGGUCCAACCAGGUUGCGCGAAUCCCUACAAUUCCUUGUCUCCCGCACGUCAUGCGAGGAUGUUGGAACGUAUGUGGGCUCACCGAAACUCAAUUACCAGUGUUUUUUUUUCAUUUUUGCCCGACAAUUUUCCAGUCCGAACGGAGGAAUAGGUUUUUAAUCGCGGGAAUUAAGGUAUUCCGAAUCUGUCAGGCGCUGGGANNNNNNNNNNNNNNNNNNNNNNNNNNNNNNNNNNNNNNNNNNNNNNNNNNGGGCUACGCCCCCCCCAGACCCCCCCCAAUGAGGUUUUGUUUUGUUCGUACAAACACAGGGUUUGGGGAAUGUCGCAACACGCGCACACCACAAUCUCUCCAUAGAGGUGUCUCUUGCACGCCAGGAAGCGGGGGCCACUUGGACGCUGCACGGGUGACUGCUGUUGCAGAGCCCAAGCAAACACACACCAGUUAGACCCUACUCAAGCACUGAUCAAAUAGAGUUCGUUCGCCGUCGUUCAUUUUGCAUCACGUUGAAAGAUAACACUAUACGACUUUCCAGAUUGCAAAAGUAAUGAUGCAUAGCAGCAAUGAACCAGAACCGCCAAACACAACCUCUGCAGUUGGUUGCGGCCCCUGCUGUUGAUGCUGCAUGCUAAUUAGCGGUUCAUCAUGUACCGGCUUGCUGAUGACAACAAGAGUGGCAUCAUUGUCGUCGGCUGGCUGCAGCAUUGCGUCCACAUUGCCUACGGCCUCUAGGCCGUCUUCAUUACCGUCGCUAAUGGCUUCAGUGAAGUUUAAUAUCUUCUUUAAUGGCCUUCCACGUUUUGGGAGCUUCGGGUCCGAAUAUUUUGCAGCGUUUGGUCCGGUCAGAAAAAGUCCGAUUCCUCGUUGACUUUCGGGCGUGACCUUCCUAACAGUAUCCAUGGCAUUAAAGUACUAUAAUAUGGUUAACAUGUUUGUCUCCUGUAAGAUUCUAGCGGCUUUGGCAUGGACAGCCCAUUUUUGGCUGAAGGAAUGAACUUGUACGGUCGGAACAUUAUUUAUUCUUAAUUUCCAGGACCGCGAACAUUUUUUUAUUCCGAAUUCGGAAUAUAUUCCGCAAAAAAAAACACUGUCAAUUACCCCCUUUGGACGCUAGUCUGGACUAGACACAGCGUUCCCGGCCUCUUAACCACGGAGUUCCAAAACCUAAAUACAAGAUUUGACCAUGGAGCUGGAGCGGCCUCUGUGACAGUUCACAGUAGAGGGAAGUCAUAGUCUCACCUCGCACUUGCCUACCUCGCGCCCAUGCCGCUUAAUUUGCUGCGGACUCAUCGACAUACCGUCGACGAUCUCAAGUGAAACACACGAUUUCCAGUUGCCUGGGUGGCCGGAUCGGCUCUUGCUCGGUGAGAGUUUCGACAUGUUGACUUAGGAAAAACUUUCUCCCCGGUCCCGAUCUUCCGACAUUGCGGGAAUCAAACCAGCGACUACUUUGCGUAGCGGCCAGCCCUAAUAAGGACCUUGAACCUAUCAAAUCAAGCAUAGCGUCGGACGAUAACAUCACCCUGCCCUGCCCUGCCUGCCUUGCCUUUCUGGCUUGAGUCCUAUGUCUGCUCCACAUUUCGCUUGUAAAUCUUAGUGUCAGUCAUUUUCCAACAUUACGAAGGAAUAAGGAAAUAUGGCGUUCGCAACCUCCAAACGGAGCUUGCUUCCUGUGAGCUGCCAGGUCGUGAUCAGGAUUAGUUUAUCGCGUUAUCGCGUUAGCCUAAGGGCUGUCUGAUGCUGGCUAGAAUUCUCUAAAAGGCCUGGCCCUUAAGACUGUAAAGGACAUGUUGGUAAUAAAGGGAAUUCUGCUAGUUUCUGAGGUUUCUCCCCAGGCGGGCAUACGUUGUGUGCUGAUUUGUAAUUUAAUGUGCCGUAGCUGCAGGGAUAAAAGAUAUUCGAAUGAAACCUGUAUUAAAAAUGUCCUUAUGCGGCUGAAAUAGCGCUGUCCUUGUUGUCCUGGCGACGCCGUGCCCGCUCGUUCCAGCUCGUUCCAGCUCGUUCCAGCUCGUUCCCUUGCUUUGUCAUCUUCCCCUGUAAAUUCCUGCUCGAAUUGAAGGCCUUCGGUAAACAUCUCGCGCUGUCCAUAUAACAUGUAAUUAUUAUACGAGUGUCGAUCAUAUUCCAACACUCCUGUGUCGCCGAGCGAUGGACGCUGCCAUCACCAACUGCAGUUGGGCCGCGCUUACCCAAACUCCAACAAUGAUGCGUAGCUGUUAAUCAGCAGGGCAGCAUGUUCGUUUCGGCACCUCACAGCUAUAGGCGCAUGUAUAUGCAUGCGUCGAAUGAGCUUGAGGAAAUACACCUUUGCUUGAUAUCCAGGCAUGCAGAUCCGAAUCAGAGAGAUCGACUUCACAGCAAAAAUGCCAAAAACAUACUAUGAUUUCUUAUUGAAGCUUAAUAAACCUAUCAUGACGGUAAACAAGCAUCGCGAAUAAGAAAAGAGCACCGCCCUUGCAAGUAGUGCCGGCAGCGACAACACCGCAGCCAUGCUCAGCUCACGACACGGCCCAGAAAAGCAGUUUCGAAACUGUGACAUGUUGUGCUGCUGGAAGCUACCACGAGAACAACAGCCUGAAAACCUGCGAACCUUACGCUACGGUUGCAUUCCAGCCUCUGGACAUAGUUAAGCAUGGGCGGAUAAAGUUCCAUAAAGAUACAUGUUAGAAGAUACAUGUUAGAAUGUUGUUUCGUUUGAAGUGCGAGGUAGGAUGGUGCUUAUAGGCGAUCUGGCAGCCCUUGAGCCCUCGGCUCGUAUUAGGGUGGUUUGCAGGUACGGGGAACGCACCCACGACCAUGUAACCACAGCAACAUGUUAGAAGUUCCGUACACAAGUGCGGGUGUGUCCGUAAAAUCAGGGGGCCCAUAGACGUUCUAUUGAUAAUGAGCGGGUAGCGGGGGCCCAUCAUCAUCCUCCCUCGUUCGCUUCAGGGCGAAGCGCCUCAGCACGACGUGCCUGGCCUCCCAGAUUUCCUAGAGGUACCUGGCCAAUGCCAGGGAUGGCGCCUCAGUCAUAAUGGUGCGCAUGCUGCGCCCCUCAAAGACUAGGUCACCAUCGUACUUAGCCCGUAUGCUCUUGUAAGCGGGGCAUUCAUCAAAAACGUGCAAUUCAUCUUCAACCGCUCCACAGUCACAAAGCCUGCAGGUACGCGCGGUGCACUCACGCCCAUUAGGCCUAUUAAACGCUUAACUCCCAACGGCCUAACCAGAAACGUAUGAGCACUUGAUGCAGUCGCUGGGGCAUGGUUACUUUAGUGUGCUCCAGCCAAUCGAGACGCACACCCCUAGGCGGGGCCGCUCCCAUCCAGUUCAUAUAGCGAUAAGCCUUAAGCUUGGCUCCGGUAAUCCCUAUGGGGAAAACGCGGGGGUCACCAAAAGUAUUCGGACACCCCCACCGUGCAUCAAUACCUUAAGAAUGCUCUCGACCGGCAAUUUAAGGGUGGCGUAAUGCGCUAUGAGUUCAUCACCGCGCGUAUUAGUGGGGGUUUCUGCUCCCACGCUAGUAAGAAAGGCUAGUACCUAGCUUGUCCAGCACUCAGUAACGCCAACGAGUGCCAAUUCUAGGUCAGCGACAAAUGCCCGAUGACACAGCGUUCCCGGCCUCUUAACCACGGAGUUCCAAAACCUAAAUACAAGAUUAGUCCAUGGAGUUGGAGCGGCCUCUGUGACAGCUCGCGGUAUAGGGAAACCAUAGUCGGGCUCCUCACCCCAACUACAGAUCGCAUGUACGCACGCUGCUCCUGGACCAUGGGAUUAGUCAUAGCGCCUUCAAAACUCACAUUUAUGAAGUCAGGGUCCCCAAGCUUGCGCUCCAUAGGGAAUCACCGGUACGACUAGUGUAUUAUAGAGAGACAUACAUAGCUUGGGGACGGUAAUUUUCUUAUCUCGACAGAGUGCUGAGCCCGAACGUGGCCCGCCUCCCUGCUGUGAGUAGUUGCUUGGUACAUGCUGAAAACUGCACUCCCGGGCCAUAGUGCAACCCGAGGUACCGUGCAGUCUCGUUGCCGGUCAGCACCUGCAACCCCCACCCCACCUAGCCGGUACUCAGCUUCCAUAAGCCGCUUCCGCUCACGCGUAGUGCCCUCGAAAAUGAGGACUUCACACUUGGCGGAAUUCGCGGCCGUACCCGUCGACUUGCAGUAGGCUUCGAGUAGCCCCAGAAGGCAUUCAGCUCUAUCGUGCCCAGUCGCCACCAGUGACCCAUCGUCAACGAAAAGCAGGUUGGUGAGUUCACCGCCCGCCAGGCUAACACUCUGCUCGCGGAGGGUGCUCCAUCGGCUAGGAAGGCGUACACGGCAAUCAGCAUCGUGAGCAUCAAUGUAAUGAGCGAAUACUUCUAUGAAGAGUCCAAAAAGGGUUACGCUAAGGGGCCACCCUUGCUUCACACCACGCCCUACCGUGAAUUCAGGUCCCAACCUAUUCCCAACUUGAUCCGAAACUUCACGUCAGCAUAGCUAGCCUUCAGAUAAACAAGGACGCGCCCGUGUAGUCCAUACGACUUGAGGAAGCCCCAUAGUGUCUCACGGUCAACGGAGUCGAACGCCUUACUAGAGUUAAUCUGAGUCAAUUUGCAUGAUUAUAAGCGACCUGGCUCCGGCCACAAAUUGCUUUCAGAUAAGAUGCCUCAAUGUAAACAAAGUGGUUAUCGGUGCCAAAACCAUGCCUACAUCCAGCCUGGCUAGCGGCACGUAGCCUGUUGCCCUCACAGUAAUUGGUGAGUCGCCUCCCAAUGACAUGGGCGAAAAGUUUGCAAAGUGGGCCCCCAACCGCAAUGCCCCGAUAAUUGUCACAGCAGGUAGCGUCCCCUUUUUUUGAAAACGGGGGAAAAGGUGCUAGUUGUGAAUCCUCGCGGGUAUUUAGCUCCGUAUAUGCGGUUGUAUAGCACCGUUAAGUAAGGCGCCAAUACAAACACGGGCUGCUGCCCUUCACUUUCCUUGAUAGUGUACUUAUAAUACUCGGCCGGAGUUCCUCCCGGUCCCCCGACUUCUUGUUGCGCAAAGCCUAAAUAUAUACCCCCUCAAAACAAUGCAAAAAGGAAGCCAUAGAUAUAAACCCUAAAACAAUGCAAAAAGGAAGCCAUGUAUAUAACCCCUCAAAACGAUGCAAAAAGGAAGCCAUGGCCACGAGGUUGUCAUCAAACGUCAUUAGGGACGGCAGAGAGAUCGAUCACCCGGUUGAUUAAUCUUAUAAGAGACUAUCUAGCGAGUGAUAGCUACGGCAUGCUGUUCGAUCGAUCGCUGGAUCGAGUGGCAUCUGCCUCCACCUGCUGCUGCGAAUAGACGCACGCGCGGUUGCGCUACACUGGGCAUUACUACGGACGUGACCAGCGGCUCGUGAGCACAGCGAGGCCUUGUGCUCCUCGGAGGUCAGCCGUGCUCGCUAGCUAGCUGGCUGGCUGGCUAGGCAGACCAGACGGCUGCUGGACCAGUAAUAAGAGCUCUGCGCCCUGCCAAUCGCAUGCUUUAUGCCUUAUGUACACAUUCAGAGCGAACGCGUAGAUCACACACGCACAAUAAUCAUAACCAGUACACCACCACGCUUGUUUCGCAUUACAAGCGCACGUGCUUAUCGUGGUCAGUUUCCUUUUCCUUCUGAUGGUUGGUAAUAGAUAUUUCAAGGCAUGCACGCACUGGCAUAAGUCUAGCAAGUUCACUUUCGAUUCACACUUCAAGGGUUAUCCAAGCACCCGGACUCGGCACAUCAUACGACCAGCUCUAUCUUCACCUUUCAGAUAGACCCUCGGCUCGUAUUGGGCGGUUUGCAGGUACGGGGAACGCACCUCACGACCAUGUAAAACACACACACACACACGCAGAUAGACAUACAGACUUCUGCGCCUGCCUCCUGCCCCACGCCUGCUCCUCGUAAUCUUCCUUUUUAUUUUUUCGAAAUGUACGAAUAAUGCAAUAUCAGUCCACAGUAGGCAUUAAUGUGUCCCGCAGCGUGGUGAUCGACCCAUCACAUCUCCUACCUUAACUCCAAUCGAUCUACCUUACGACACCUUAUUAACAGUCGCCUUACCCCUACCUGGACACAAACGUGUUGAGGGCAAAAAAAAUUAUAUGACAGCGGUUUUCUCCUGCCUCGCUAGCUGUCGCACAAUGAUGUGGUCGGACAACAACAAGAAUCAAGAUACGAGCAGCUAGACUGACGACGUCGCAUCACAACUCGUGGGUGAUCGAUUUGAAGUGCAGGUAUGCCCGCCCCUUGCGGCCCCAUAGCCCGUUUAGAGACGCGCACAGCUCCGAGACUGUUCCGACCAGAGGCUCAGGGCCCGCCGCGUACACAGCGACACGCAGUUCCUCUAGCGCUAAGUCCGCAGAACUGAAGUUCGCAUCCAACAGCUCGCCGCUGGUGGGUCCGGUGGCGUUGACAUCGGGUGCGAUGCCGCCGGUCAUAGCAACCUGGUGCAACAGAGUCAACAGGUCGGGCCUGCCGUACUUGAUGUACGACGUGAGAGCCUUGGCGGGCGUGGGGAAGGAUGCCUUCUUAGGCGCGUCGUCGAGGCUGGUCCUAAUCGCGGUGCUAACGGCCUGGUCGUUAGACGACCGGAAGCUGCUUGCAGUAGUUCGAAACGAUGCCCAUGUGAUCGGUCGCGCAAGUCGCCUAUGCACGUGGGCGCAGGGGCAAAGGAUAAAGGUUGGGGGAUUCGAAAAUUAUGCACAUUCGACCCGUCAGAAGGACAACAAAUUGCUGCAAGUGCUGGUAUUCUAUCCAAGCAUGACACGAAUGCAAAUGAUUCAAUCCAAUCAACUCGUACAGCGGUUGAAAUCUAUAGAGCCUUAGUCAUCAUUAACUGCAAAAAGCGCCCCAACCUACCUCCACAAAUGCGCCCCCAGCAUAAGUACUGCAGGCGGUAAUGUCGAACCAAGGCCUAGCGCAGCGAAUUGCAUCAUGCCCACGAACGAAAAGUCAUUCCGUACGGUCACCGUACGAGACAGAUGGGCAUCGUACGCCUGCGAGCACAUCAGCCCUGCAAAACCGCCUGUGAAACUGAGCACCACAGCCGCCAUCCACAGCAGCGGGCUAAACAUGUACGGGUGAGACAGAGGCCUGCAUACGCGGAGGCGGCGUGAAGUGUGCGGGGGCAUGGUCGGGGUUGCGUUCGUUGCACGUUUUUAUAAAUGGAUAUGUCAUAAUAGCUGGUAGACAGGUCGGUUGUAAUAAUGCUUAUGUAAGUAGAUAAAGCGAGGGCAUCGGGGGCCCAUCGAAUUUUCACUAGGCAAUGCAGGAAGCCUUUCCUUACCCGACCUGCAGCGGGGAUAUUUUGCUUGUUGGAAACUUAAAAAUUCCUACUUUGACAGAGGGAACAAGCCCAAGGAAAAUGAAUAUUUACGGCGGUCGGCCUUUUAGAAAAAAAUCAAGCGGGGCAACUCAAAACCCAUGCGCCCCAGCUCUAUAUAUGCUUACCGAGCAGCAGUCGCCAAGCCACCGAAAGCAUCUUCAUCUCCCGACGGAAGCUUAGCCCCGGAAAGCCCCUCUCCGAUAGCUUGGGGCGUCAUGACAGAAUCAUUGCUGCUGCGGCUCCCAGAACCCGGCGGCGCGGUACCCUCUAGGGAGGCUUUUCCGUCGGCGGCGGCCUUGGCGGCGACAGUGGUGACUCCAGCGGCUUGUGAGUGCUUGCCAUCAGGCGCUGCGGUCGACGACGUCAGGUGCAGAUAGAGGUCCACACCGGAAGCAACCCUGGCGGAGUGAUGGCGAGUUAAGAGGCAGAUGUGUAGGUCAGGGCAGGGCACGGAAUCCGGAAUGUGGAGCUGUAAUGACAUGUUUAGACAAUAUUUGUAUUCUAAUCUUAUCUGUAUCACUAUUGCUUGGUAUCCAUUCAGAUCCCCACUGCACUCACCAUUUGGACGUGCAAUAAUGUGCGUGUGUGUUACACCUAGGCUGUCGUACCUAGAGCGGUGUAAUGAGACCGUACGAGCCAGAGGCCCAAGAGCUUAGAAGCCACAAGCUAGAGAAUACCAAUCUGAUACUAUGACAUCCUUGUAGAUAGGGUCUGGUAUUGUACUCGCCAGUGCGCUUAUCCAAGGGCGAGCCCUUCCGUUGGCCGUAGCUUAGAAGCUAAACAACUUGGCACUCACGAUAGAGCUAACCGAGCUACCCGAGAAAGGGCCAACCCGCCAACUUCUCCCUCAAAUCACUAACCCCUGAAUGAGCCGCGCACAAGCACAUACACAGCGGGCCCCGUCGCUUUUCCCCAGGACCGCAAACGCACCCGUCACUGGCAGCCUGCAGAAUCUCGUACGGCAGGGCACGCAGCUCGUCCAUGGUACGACUGACCCAGACCAGGAUGAUGCGAUCAGCAUUAGAUCCCUUCCCGGCGGGCUGUUGGCGACGGGCGGCGAGCAGCUCCAAAAUCAUCCCCAAAGCGGGAGUGAUCUGGGCGGCAGAGGAGAGCGGGGUUGGACAGGAAAGGGUCGGCAGGGACGAGGCUCGGAAAUGGGGUUGGCGUUGGUCAGGACGACAACAAUGAUCAUCCUAAAACCCUCAGUUUUACAGGUAUGGGGUCACGCACCCCCAACCAUGUAACACACACACACACACGCAGACAACAAACGAUCGAAUCUUAGGCUCCGAGCGGUAAUUUACAUUCCAGGACGUAGCAAAUCAACAGGCUCUGCGAAAGGCGUAUGACCCUCUUCUAGGCAUUUCUAACGGAACCGAAAGGCCUUCCGUACACGGUCGCCGAGUCUGUAUCUAAUUCGCAGGUGCUAUCCGCGAUCCCAUCCAAUCCUUUUCCAUCAGGCAGGUAAUCAAUCAUGCAUUUCAAAGGUUAGCUUACCCCAACGCCACCCGCCACGAAGACGUGUGUGUCAAACUUCUUCAUCCACUUGCGAUUGCUAUUGUCGUACGGUCCACUGACGUACAGAGCAAGGGGAUCGCUUGACACUCGCGAAAUGAGGGCCUGAGGGGUAUACGAGGGGAUAGAGCAGCGAAUUGUAAAAAAGGAGAGGAAAGCAAGUAAACCGAAACGCAACUCACGCGUCGAAUACCGGUCGUGGAGUUGUUUCGUCUGCAAGCAUGCUACAUAAACGCCCUGUCCUGUACAUGUACGGCCUACCUUCGUCCAGCGGUUGUACUUCUUGAUCUUGAGCUCCAUGAUGUUGGCGGCGGAGGGCUCGGAGGCGAUGGUGAAGGGGUGCCACUGGAACCAGCUAACAGCGGGCACGUUCAGGAACACGGUGUCACCGCCCACCCAGUGGAUAGACUGCGAGGAAAAUAAACAUGAUGGGUGGGCCGAAUUACACCCGUUGUAUAUGGAUUUCAUAAGCCUACAAACAACCACCAAAAAGGUCAGAUGAUUCACGAAAAUGACUUUAAAGUCUGCAAAUUUGCAGCGGCGUCGGCCACAGCGGCCGACACGACCGCCUGGGAGGUAUUUCAUUGAUAAAGCAGAGCAUUAGACACCUUCCGUAAGCCCCUUCCCCCUCCACACCAUCCACACACAAGCGGCCCUAAGCACCUCGUGGCAGCGGAUGCUGAGUGAUAGCAGCUCCCCGCCGUUUGGAGAAGACAGUCGGGCGACUGCCGCACAAGUAGAAGAGAAAGGGAAGUUGACCUCGGCCCCCGUAGCCGCCGGCGCUAUCUUCAUCUUCACACCGUUGAAGUUCUGCUGCAGGGUGCGGAGUACCACGUCGACAAGGUACAGAAAGAUGCCUGCGUGCAUGCGCACAUGUAGAAGAACAGAGGAGAUAAGGGAGAGGGCGAUGGCGCAAACAUGGGAGGGUAGCGCAUCCAUGCUUGGUGUGCUUUUGCGCGUUUCUACGAUCGUGCUGUUUGUGCGUCUUCGUCCUGUGUGGCGAAUGUCUUCGCACGUGUCAUGCAUCCAGAUGAUAAGCCCGGGUUGCAGGCUGCGGGCCGGGGUUCCAGCGCGAUGAUGAUGAUGAUGAUGAUGAUGAUGAUGAUGAUGAUGAUGAUGAUGAUGAUGAUGAUGAUGAUGAUGAUGAUGAUGAUGAUGAUGAUGAUGAUGAUGAUGAUGAUGAUGAUGAUGAUGAUGAUGAUGAUGAUGAUGAUGAUGAUGAUGAUGAUGAUGAUGAUGAUGAUGAUGAUGAUGAUGAUGAUGAUGAUGAUGAUGAUGAUGAUGAUGAUGAUGAUGAUGAUGAUGAUGAUGAUGAUGAUGAUGAUGAUGAUGAUGAUGAUGAUGAUGAUGUNNNNNNNNNNNNNNNNNNNNNNNNNNNNNNNNNNNNNNNNNNNNNNNNNNUUACAGUUAUUAACUUUGGAUCUAUGGUACGAUGAGGGGAACGUUCCGCAAUUUGUAAAAGGAACGCUAGCUAGGGUUCUAUAUCACCUGGCAUGACCCAGGUAGCGACGUCCUUCCGGUGCAUGAACCCGAACAGCAGGAACAUGGUCGCGCCCAAGAUGUGGCAGCUGUAAAAGAGGCUGUAGAAGCGGCGCCGGACGAAACUCAAGCUGGUUAAACACAACAGCCAGCCGCCACACAUGGCCACAAGGCCGGAGAGCCGGUUGACGCCCGCACCCAUGUUCCAGUCAAGCAUGGUCGACAAACUGCGGGCGGGAGCGUUCAAGGCAUGUAGGAUGCGAAAGCGAGGGGGUUAGGGAGAGAACCUAUAUGUACGUCUCUCAACUUAGGGACAUAUUAUGUCGCAGCGGACAACAAUAGAGCACACUGUUGGAGUUGGCGCAAGCAGACGAAAACGUCCACACAGUAGCGACACAACACGAUGGGCAGGGCAGAAUUAGCGGAUUUUCGUGGUUUGACUGAAUCCUGUUGGGAGUACAAAAUUGUUCAGGAUCGCCAGUCCACAACAAAAAAGGUAGUAAUGAGGCCGAAAAGGACAAACAAUUCUAAGCACAACGAGAGGUGAGUUUUUUUGAAAACAAAUCAGCGUCAAUUUUCAACAAACAGGUGAUGAGUAGAGGCGGUUCAAACGAAUGCAUCGUGGCGAGUCUUGGGCAGGCGCAGCUGGCUCACUUAAACCUUCAGCGGGAAGGCAGGUAAUAGCACGUAGUUUCCAACCAUGGCAUAAUGCAAUCCCUUUGAUAUGGAUUGGUGCAACGGUUCGUUUUUCACCGUCAUCAGUGACUCACACGCCACUGUGCGCCCAGAUGCUCAGAUAGGUGAUUCCAUGGAGGGAGUAUACCAGCAGAGUGCCUUGGCCCAGCCACCUGUAGGGAAUGCAGCAGCGAACGGCGGGCGGAAGGACGAUGACAUACGUGCGAUCUAUGUACUUCUUGCGCGUGUAAGUUGCACGAACGUGUGCACAGGUGACUUCUAUCCCUUUACUCGUGGGGUAGCGGACUACGCACACAACAUCAAAAACCAACAGAAGCGCACUCCUGCGCCACUGACAGGCAACUCUGUGGGUGAUCUCAUCUGCUCGCUUCGCUUUGUGGACAUGAACACCUAUCUUUCCCAGCCGACGGUGAUGCUAAUGAUGUCCAUCAGUCGUUUUGGUGGACCCACCACUGUCCCUCCCACCUGUGGUACUUGACCAUUGAGGCGAAAUCGGAUCCCAGCAGCCAGUGCAGAAAAUUGCAGCGGGGUAGUGGGAAGAACAGCAGCAGAAUGUCCAGACGCCCGACCCAGCCAGAGUACUUGGCAACGCUGUGGGAAGGAAGCAGACACAUACAAAAUAUGUGACACGGGCUUGUGGGCAAGAUGGGUUUCCAGGAAAUUAUUCAUCAGCGAAGCAUUGCGGAAAAGAAGAGGUUAAUUAAUAUCCACGCUCCACCGCCCUCACCUGUCUUGAACAACUUCUGGAAGGGGCUUGAGCUUCUUAGCAGCUGGCGGCGGGGACAGCGCUUUGGCCGGUGUCGAUGAAGACGAUCCGGGCUUGGCACCAGUGCUAGUUGAGUUGCCCGCGGGGCUGCUGCUGCUGCUGUUGCUAGGCGGGGGAGAGGAGGUCUGCAUCAACCGACGUAAGGAUCCGCGAACCUCUAUGCUUGAAUUGGCGUUGGAGGUGGUGGUGGUGGAGGGCGGCGGUGGCGGUGGUGUAGCUGUUGUCGAGGGCAUGGCCGCUGAUAGGCGGCUGGUGUUGGUAAUGGAAGUUGACAGCGACGGCGAGGAUGAUGGCUUGCUGGACAGCGGCGGGCUCCGUAUGACCGCUGCGGUUGGAACCAAGUCUUAGUUAAAAGGAUGUAUUGCAGUUGUCUGAAUGACGGUUAGUGGGACGUUUAUAAUGAAAUAAGACAACUCAAUACCAUCAUGUAGCAAUUCAGUUGAUGAGGAGGCCCGGCCCCGAGCAUGCAACAAUUAGUUAAUGGCGGUGCCUGCAUCCUCUGGCCGUGGCAUGGAGACUUCUCCACCCCAGUUGACAAUAACUGACAUGACUGAUAACUGACAUGAUAACUGACAACCAGUAACCAACAAUUGCAACGGCAUGGCGUCGUCACCCAUCGAAAACCGCCAAGUCACCGACGAAGGAUGCCCUGCAGGAACUUCCCCUCCUAUCAGCCAGUCCGCACCUUUUGGUGGCGGUGGGGCCGCACGCCUGCUGUCUAGUACACGCAUCGUCAUCUCGCGCAACCAGAGGAUAUGCAGGCCCAGCCACAGCAGCACCAGCAGCAAGUCCAAAACAGACAGCCCCUCGGGACCCCGGAUGGACCGCCACAAGCCGCGAGGGGGGACCUGAUAGCGCAGCAGCCGCCGGACGCGAAUGACGGCCUGCGAGAUCAAAGCAUCGAUGAUCGGAUGAUGAUCUAUGUAACCAGCCCAUGUCAGCGGUGCAUGUAUACGUAGAGGCAUGGCUGUAAGUUAUUAUUGUCGCAGUUCGUUUGGACACGAAGUUCUAGAACAGAAGGCGAGUCCAUGGAUUGUAGGAAGUACAGAGGUGACGAAAGUUCCUCUCGACUAUGACCACCUUCCCACCAGAAUUCAAAAAUGCAAGCAGGGGUGUUGAGUUAUGAGGGCAGCGGAUCACUUGAGCUGGAUAUGUAUCUCUUACCUUUCUCGCAGCAGCACCAACAGACCAGGAUAGACCGCUAGCGCUCUUUUUGACUGGUUUCGGCGGGUGCGACAUGGAGGCUUUGUUGGCGGCAGCAGUAAUGGAAGACAGCCACAGCAGGCCAGCUGAACCGAGCGCCACUGCCAGCGUGCCGCACCACUGCCAUAUCAACUGCGAUGGCCAAUGAAGGGAUGGGGCCCCGUUGAGAACUUGGAGACGCAAAGCAACAAGAUAAGCAAGCUGGCUUGCUGCGCCAAUAUGUCCGGUAUGUCUGAGAUUCUCUCCCCUGGUCUCAAUGUCUCAGUGCCCAGAAUAAAAGCAAAGUGCUGAGAAUAAAGCAAAGUAUGAAUCCUGUGUCAAUUUUGCAGAGUAUACCUCGGUUUGAUAGAUGGAUUCAUACAGCCAGCCUAGUGGGACACGGAUUGGGGAAUGCGAAUGGUUGGGAGGUGCUGUGUGAUGUACGCUGGGUGUGAUGCGCUUACCAAGAAGCUGUAGCCACCGGAUAGCAGCGGCGUUGCCCUCCCAGUUGUUGCGUUGGCAAAAUUGUACUGUAGUAUCAAUGUGUUGCGCCAGGUGAUCAACUCAGUCGCGCGAACCUGAUACCACCGAGUUGGAGUCGUUGUGUAGAAGAAACCGAAUGAGAUCGCGCCGCCGGCGACGAUUAGCCAGAGAAGCGCGCAAGCGGCGGUGAAAAGCAUGCGACGGAGCAUGGCUGUUAAAUCUGAACGUGGCAAAUCAGCCAUCGCAUGAAAAGCUGGCAAAAUUCUUGGUCAACAGAAACUGGGCUUCGCUCAAUCGUGCGGACUCGGAAUAGUAGGGCUGACGACAAGUUGUAGGGUGACCUCGAGCACCGUUGUCGGACGGCGUUUUCGAAGAAACACGAUGCUUGUGAAACGAGCCGAAAGAAACUGAAAAUAUUAAGCUUAAGGAAAUUGAAACUAAUUUUAUAGUAUGCUGGUUCCCGCUUUAAAUAGAUAGGUCGGCGUUGUGAACGCCAGGCGUGCGGUUGGCGUGUGAUGGCGUGUGUCAAUAUUCAGUCGUUUUAUCUUUAUCGUAUGUAUUUCCCAUGUUUUUCCAUAUUAAUGAAAAAAUGUUUUUCUUAAUUCUACAGGGAGCAAGAGUACUUCUAUGGGUACCAUUGACUGUGUCACUUUUUCGGUUUGACAUUGCAACCUGCCCGGUGGUCUCCAAUGAACUUCAUAAGCGCAAGUAACUGUCUAGAAUCAUGAUUACCAAGCAUAAUUCAGGAUAAAUGUGGUUUAGAUCGCGUCAGACGGUGAUACUUCUACCCAUUAGUCAUGUAUAGUGGGACCGGUCACCUGCUGAAUCCGAUAAAGUAAUGCGGAAGCCCUCUCGCCGUGAUUUGGCAAACAACAGCUCCAAGUAAGUUUUCAUCAUAAAACUUGUAUAUAUAUAUAUAUAUAUAUACAAGUUCCACCACCGUCCCACAUAUCCACCAACGCGACGCGUACCUUACCCUGUCUGACUUGCUGUGAGCAUACUUGCCCUUCCCUGCCGAGCCAUGCGCGUGAGAAUCUGUGGUAAUUAGCUAGAGGAGCAUUCCUGUUGGUGAUGAAUACGGCGUAGUGCUAACAACAGCUGCAAAAUGCAUCGACAUUGACUCAUACGUACACAGAACAUUUGUGUGUAACUUCUAUCAGAAAUGAAAUGAAUUCUCUUCUACAAGAUUGCUGUUAUUGCGGCUACCCCUGUCCGACAGCUGUUGUGCUGCUGUAAUUAUCUACCGCUGCAUUCAACUAUGGUGUCCGUGUUUGUCGGAAUGCGAGCUUUAUUGACUCAUUCGCUUCACGACUGUAAGCUUUAUUGACUCAUUCGCUUCACGACUGUAAUGCUAGGGGUUGAGCAAAUCAGGUUUCAGCUGCAUCAAAGCUGCAAAUGUGCGUGCGCUGCCGCGAGCAGCACAAAUCCUUCAUAAUUCCCCUUACGAUCCGUUAGAUUGGCAUUAGCAAUCCCUCACGGCGACGGUGUGAUUGCUGGCAAUUGCAUCCAAUGAAUCCAGCAAAUUCGCAUGCAUGGCCAUUCCCAGCCUCCCACUCUGUAACAACAACAGCAUGCGUGGCCAUUCACCUUAGCCUGGCAGUUGUGUGUGUGUGUUACAUGGUUGGUGGGUGCGUGACCCCAUACCUGUAAGACUACCCAUACGAGCCGAAGGCCCAAGGGCAAUACUACAACGCCUAAAAGCCACGGGGAAAAGGAAAAACACCGCACAUCAGCCCAGAUUAGCGUCCAAAGGGGGUAAUUGACUUUCAGUGAGCCCACAUACGUUCCAACAUCCUCGCCAGACGUGCUGGUUCCCAUUUCAUGGCCUCCAACAUGCUCUGUUGAUGAUCGAAUCCCUCUUCAGCACGAAUAUCAUUACAGGCUGGGCAUUCCAAUAACACGUGUUUUUCAUCCUCAAUUCGGCUAUUAGUACCACAACAGUGGCAAAACCGCUGCCCCCUGGGGACAUGGUACUUGCCCCUUCGUGCUCUGUUUGCCUCCAAAGCCCAGCAACAUAAACCAAACUGCAUUAGCUUACGAUGUACUAAACGAGGAAUGAAAACCUUAGCAUGUGUUGGCCACAUGACGGCUGCGGCUCCCGAAAAGGGCAGCCCCAUCCAGUGCUUAUACUUCGCCAUUUGCACUCCCGGUUGCUUCCCAUCUGAUGGGUACUCCUCUGGCAAGACAGUCAGACGCGUAUGGUCCCAGCCACUCAUCAAACGCUCUCUUAGUGCCGUUAUUAUCGCUCCUUCGGGUAGAGGCCUACUCAACAACCAGUCAACACGCUCCUUUACCCCCACGACUUCUUGCGGUAUUCCGCUCCAAAUGUUGCACUCCAAGAAGGAAAACAGUCGUAACAUUGAGGUUACCCAACCCUCCCAUUCCGGGUUGGUCAGGGCAUCGGUUAUCUCCUGCCGUAAAACGGCAUGAGCAAUGGAUCCCACUUGCAUUUGAAGGCGGUUCCAGAAACGGAGAAUCUGCUUCACCCAGUGUUUUUUUUAGUAUUAUAUUCCUUUUAAGGGAUAAAGAGGCCAUUUUGGCCUUUGGAAAAAAGGAAUGAAUUGAGGCCGAUCCGUACAUUUUCAUUCCUCCAGCCAAAAACGUCCAUUGCUGCCAGAUUGCUCCGUAGUGUGCUGAACUUAGUAUUAUCGAUCAUAGAAUAGAUAUGAGGGGCCGUAAGAAGGUCAAGCCCGUGAGUCAACGCGGCAUAGCAGAAUGUAUGACCGGUCCUUACAUAGCCAAACACGCAAAAGGCAACGACUUGAACGCCGAACAAACACCAAAACAGCAAGAUAAGCCUGAAAUUUUUCCUGAUAAAGGCGUUUGGGACGGCGGUGCUGUUGUCGGUAAUGCAUCGGCAAUGGUGUUGCUGCCAGCGGCGACCGAUGACACGGGCGCCAUUACCCCUGCCUUCCAUGGCGGUUGUGAUCAGCAUAAGCGCAAGCUGUCACCCAAUCAGCUCGACAACAACGAAUGCGGCGAGGCGCCCAACCCGAGCGCUCGCAGUGCCAAGCGGGCUCAGACACAGCGCAUCCGCAAGGGCAUGAGCGACAGUGCAUUGCGGGACAAGCAGAAAGAAAAUGCCCACAGAUGGCAGAUUGCCUGGGCCGCCAGGUAUCCCUGGGCCCAGCCUGUGCAUGCUGACGUGGACGCCGGAGAAGUGCACGACCAAGGAUUUACUUUUUGUUCACAAACAGUGCCAGAACUAUCUAUGCAUGUGCAUGAAGAGUGCGCACAUGAACGAAAACGCGCCAACGCAGUGCGUGCCUCUUGGUCUAUGAGGGGAGUUGUAACUUAUGGGGGGGGGGUCGGGCUACGCCCCCCCCCCCCAGCGCCCCNCACUUAAGGAAUACAUUACGGCGACGCUAGCAACUUUGUUACUUAGGUCGGAAUAAAUUGAGACCCCCCCUAAAUGAAAAAAAAAUCACUGGCUUCACCAUGUAAUAUUGUAAGGGGAGUUCAGCCAGCUCCGCGUACAACAGCCUGUGGGAUGGCCGUGCCGUCCCCACUACCUGCCUCAUGAAUAAAAUCUGCAGCUGGACUGCACUAUCCUUCAAACAGGCUUCGAACAUGCCCUCCGCAAGGUUGGCAUUAUCCCGCCGCCUUCCCGCCCUGUCCACGACCUCUGCCAGCGCAAAAGGGCCCCACGCCUGGCAGCCAUACAACAGAAUUGCUCGGACUUGGGUUGCAAAACACCGCAUUCGCACAUCGGGGGCAAACAGCUUCAUUUUGUCCAGCUUUGCGCUUAAGGAAAACAUAGCGGACCGACCUGUAUCACACAACUGCUGACGGCACGCACUAAAAGGCCGUUCUGGCCCAUAUACCAGGCCCAGAUAGCGAGCGCUAUCUUUGGCAGGUACUACCUGGCCUGAUAGCCGUAACUGUUGACAUCUCCCGCUAAGUUCCGACUGCUGGGUGCCGUCACAUGCAAAAACAAGCCUUUCACACUUUGAGACAUUUGGUCGCAUCCCAAAAGCUUCACAAAACAAGUCCACAAGAUGUAGCAACUCAGACAUUCGCUCUAGUGACGUCGCUAGCAGACUAACAUCGUCUGCAUACAACAGUAUGGAGACGCGCUUGCUUUCCACAAGGGGUGCGUCAUACUUACGUGCACCAGCUUCUACAAGGUCAUGAGUAUCAAUCAGAUCGGCUAGUGUCUCGAUGAAGAGUCCAAACAACUCCGUAGAUAAAGGACACCCUUGCUUCACUCCUUGCUUAGACUCAAACUCUCCCCCCACUUUCUCAUUUACCUUCAUCACCAGCCUGGCAGUUGUGACACAGGCACACACCACACACAGGCACGUAGACAAUCAGGUACGCUGAAACGGAUUCACGCUGGCAGAGGUCAAUCUGGGGGGGGAAAGAGCUUGAUCGUUCGCCGGCUGAGCUUUGACCCUCGUUUCGAGUGCAAGUCAAUUUGCAUUCCGAUGGGUGCAGUCACCUGAGCCGCGCCAUAACACCCAGCCGUGAACUUGGCAUGCAGACGAGCAGUGACCUGUGCCACAAUGCAACAACCUCGCUUAAUUGACAUAGCGGCACGAUUUGGAGUGAAUUUGCCGUGAUGAUAGCCGUUUGUUGUGGCCAAGGUGGAUGUUUUAAGGUUUUCAUCAUCAAAUCACGCUAACUGUGCUCGAGGCAAGGGCAUGAUGAAGACCCGGGCAAGCGGCGCCAAAGGAUUCUUCCCGCUAAAGUUGAUUGGCUUUUAGGCGUAUAGAUAUUGCCUUGGGCCUUCGGUUCGUAUGGGUAGUUUUACAGGUAUGGAGUCACGCACCCGCAACCAUGUAACACAUACACAGAUCGGCACGAAGGGCCCGGCAACCCAACCCCCCAGGUAUAUGAGUGUUGGUCACUCUCCAGCAAUCCCCUCCCAUAAAGACAGUUGGUUGGAAGCAUACGCGUCUAGAUGUCCAGCCAGACGUGUACCCGUCAGACGACAAGUAGCCAGGAAUUCACAUGGCGAAGUAUAAGCAUUGGAUGGGUCUAGCGGCCGAACAAGUGGGCAGGAGGGAGGUACUCCCGCAUGUCACAACGUUUAUCCCACGUUCAGCGAAUCGCAAGCUUUAGGCUUUGCUGUUGGGCAUUGGCGCCGAACAGUGCAGACAACGGACGGCGUUAUAUGCCUAGGGAGGAGCGAGCAUGCCCCUGCUGCGGCACUGAUAGACAAAUCGAAGAUGAGAAGCACGUUUUGCUGGACUGUCCGGUGUACGGCAAAAUCAGAUCUGGUAUGGAUUUUCCACGCUUCGAGCAUAUGUGUGUGUAUGUUUCAUGGUUGGGGGUGCGUGACCCCAUACCUGUAAAACUACCCAUACGAGCCGAAGGCCCAAGGGCAAUACUUCAACGCCUAAAAGCCACGGAGAAAAGGAAACACCGCACAUCAGCCCAGACUAGCGCCCAAAGGAGGUAACUGAGUUUCGGUGAGCCCACAUACGUUCCAACAUCCUCGCAUGACGUGCGGGUUCCCAUUGCAUGGCCUCCAACAUGCUCUGUUGAUGAUCGAAUCCCUCUUCAGCACGAAUAUCAUUAUAGGCUGGGCAUUCCAAUAACACGUGUUUUUCAUCCUCGAUUCGGCUAUUAGUACCACAACAUCGGCAAAACCGCUGCCUCCUGGGGACAUGGUACUUGCCCCUUCGCGCUCUGUUUGCCUCCAAAGCCCAGCAACAUAAACGAAACUGCACUAGCUUACGAUGUGCUAAACGAGGAAUGGAAAUCUUAGCAUGUAUUGGCCACAUGACGGCUGCGGCUCCCGAAAAGGGCAGCCCCAUCCAGUGCUUAUACUUCGCCAUUUGCACUCCCGGUUGCUUCCCAUCUGAUGGGUAUUCCUCUGGCAAGACAGUCAGACGCGUAUGGUCCCAGCCGCUCAUCAAACGCUCUCUUAGUGCCGUUAUCAUCGCUCCUUCGGGUAGAGGCCUACUCAACAACCAGUCAACACGUUCCUUUACCCCCAUGACUUCUUGCGGUAUUCCGCUCCAAAUGUUGCACCCCAAGAAGGAAAACAGUCGUAACAUUGAGGUUACCCAACCCUCCCAUUCCGGGUUGGUCAGAGCAUCGGUUAUCUCCUGCCGUAAAACUGCAUGAGCAAUGGACCCCACUUGCAUUCGAAGGCGGUUCCAGAAACGGAGGAUCUGUUUCACCAUGUAAUACUGUAAGGGGAGUUCAGCCAGCUCCGCAUACAACAGCAGGCGGCAGGCAGGCGGCUGGCAGGCGGCAUAGGCAGGCAGGCGGCUGGCAGGCGGCAUAGGCAGGCGGCUGGCAGGCGGCAUAGGCAGGCGGCUGGCAGGCGGCAUAGGCAGGCUGGCGGCUGGCAGGCGGCAUAGGCAGGCAGGCGGCAUAGGCAGGCGGCUGGCAGGCGGCAUAGGCAGGCGGCUGGCAGGCGGCAUAGGCAGGCAGGCGGCAGGCAGGCGGCAUAGCCAGGCAGGCGGCUGGCAGGCGGCAUAGGCAGGCGGCAUAGGCAGGCGGCUGGCAGGCGGCAUAGACAGGCGGCUGGCAGAGGUUAAGGCCUGACUUCUGCUCCAGGAGUGUCCGAGUUCAAAUCUGCCUGCCAAUUCCUCAGGUGAUUGAGGAGUGUUAAAAUGGGAGGUGGCUCCCCAUCUCAUGGACGGUGUAGGACGUGAUAAUAUCAACUUGCGAGCUGACCAGGAACUAAGUUGAUGCGCCGUUGAUCCGCAAGAUUUGGUUGGAUGCUGGUGGUGAGUUGCCGAACCCAACAAAUACAUCCUGAAGUAGGAUGGGGUGACGGAUUAGGGUGCCCCUCUAGCAGGGGAGAGUAGGGACUGCCCCGGGAAAGGGGGCCGCUGGCGAAGUUAACCACCCUGUAACAACAUACAUACAACAGCCUAUGGGAUGGCCGUGCCGCCCCCACUGACUAAUUUGAGGCGCCGUUGAUCCGCUAGAUUUGGUUGGAUGCUGGUGGUGAGUUGCUGAACCCAACGAAUACGUUCUGAAGUAGGAUGGGGUGAACGGAUUAGGGUGCCCCUCUGGCAGGGGAGAGCAGGGAACUGCCUCGGGAAAGGGGGCCGCUGGCGAAGUUAACCACCCUGUAACAACAUACAUAUAACAGCCUAGGCAGGCGGCUGGCAGAGG
rnacentral:lncRNA from 1 species